AGGUGCUUCCUUUGCACCCACAGCUUGCUCCUUUGUUGUUGCAUAGUAUUCUCCUUGGAGUAGUUGAUUGAUAUACUAAUACUCAUGGAGUGCAUGCGGAAUCAUUACUGUUGCGGAUACUGCGAAAUGUGGUUGCUCGUGCGAGGAAUUGGCAUAUGUCAGUUGUCUGUUGUUGCACCUAUUGGCAUAGAUCAGUUUUGGGAGUUUGCCAUAUAAGAUCAGGAUGUAGCCUGCACUCUUGUGGAUAAUAUGUUUGUUCAUGUGUGAUUGCUCCGCUUUUCGAGCAUCUGUACUUUGACAUGAAUUGCGUGCACUUUAAGAGGAUUACUUGGGUAUUACUCCCUCCGUAAAGAAAUAUAAGAGCAUUUAGAUCACUACUUUAGUGAUCUAUAGUGAUCUAAAUGCUCUUAUAUUUCUUUACAGAGGGAGUAGUUUAUAUUACUCCUAUGGUCAGGUGAUCAUCGCUAUUAUGUUGAUUGGAGAUGACUGAGAUAUCUCUUGGAUUGAAAUAGCAUAGCAGCAUGAUCUGUUAGAUGUUGGCACUGAAAAUUGGAUAUGUUAGUUAUUGUGUAGAUUGUUUUUGAUUGAAUGCUAUAAUUGAAUUGCUGUCCAUUUGCCCAUGGCACAAUUUAUGUAGUUUGAGAUAUCUGUUCAAGUUAAAAUUGUGCGCAUUCAUAGUGUUUGCCCCAUGGCCUCUAUGCUGACCUGCGUAUCAUGCACAUGCUUGGAAUUGAGUUAGAAAUAUCUGUUGAAGUUCGAAUUCGCAUGGUUGUUAUGGUGGACCACACCUAUGACUGUCAAAGGAGGUCACUUGGAAUUGAUUGUCACUAAAGAGAGCAUGAAGGUGUUUCUCUUAGAAUUGAACUAUGGGUAACCUAGGUACAUUUAACUGUUCUUAAAAUCAUAGCCAUUUGAAAAUCUGAUAGCAUCUUUGAAGAAAAAUUGCUCAGUGACAGUCGUGUUGACUUUGAGUUCUUGUUAGAAUAGCUAUUUUUUGGUUUUCGCAGAUAGUGCUUAUGAAAGGGCAAGGGCAGUACCACCAGAGGUGGUUUUCCUUGCUAGCAUGGCAAGUAGUGUCUUUCAUGGUUCACCAUUCAUAUCGCCCCACGAACAUAUAAUGCUGUGUGGAAGCUAUGUCAGCAGUCAGAAUCCCUGUUGUGUCAUGAUACGAGAACGCAUGGUCACAAGGCUGUACAGACUGAGAAUGUGAUUCUCAUUGGAUAGCAAAAGCUUGAAAACUUGGUGUAGUUCCAUUUAGUGCUGCCGCCAGAACUAAGGAUAUAACAUUACUGCCUAAGAGGUUUCAGUUCCUACUUGUUUGGGAUGACUAGGACUUCUAUCGUGAAAGCUCAAAUAAAUGUUAAUUUUUUUUGGUUUAUUUUGGAAAUGAAAGGCUAGCAAAAUUCGCAGGUUCAACUCCUCUGAUAUUUGUGAUUUAAUUGAGAAACUAUCGUAAAGGCUGCAUGGAAUUGGCGGUGCAAGUAACUGAUUUUUACAUAGUCGCGAUGUUAGAGUGCUGAAUUUGACAAGUGGUUGCAGUACUGCCAGUGCAAAAUUUUGCAUCCCCAUAUGUCUCUGUGACUAGGAGCCCGUUGGUGGAUAGAAAAUUGAAGAGAACCCUCCCUUACCAUAUUAGAGGCUUUGGAAAGUAUGGGUUAUUUCCUGUACAUUGCUACUUAAUAGUAUGAGAUCUCAGACAAGGUUUGCAUGCAACUUCUAAAUAUGAGUUCAUUUUUGCUUGUUUCUCUCUAUCUCCUGUUAUGUGUAGCAAAUUAGCUCAUGAAUGAUAGUUCCACAGUUAUGAUUUGCUGUUCUAGUUUGUUGUUACUGAUUUUGUUUACAAGAAACUCUGAUAUGUUUAUAUCGUCUAUAGAUUGUUUUCAUUAGUAUUUGGACAUUGACAUUGUCUUAAAACAUAUGGUCCAAUAGAAGGUUAAUGUGUACUCCCUCCGUCCUAAAAUAAGUGUCUCAACCUUAAUACAACUUUGUACUAAAGUUAGUACAAAGUUGAGACACUUAUUUUGGGACGGAGGGAGUAUAUAUGAUACUGAACUAAAACCACGACCCUUAUUUUGGAACAGAGGGAGCAUAUAUCAUCAGCUGAUUUCUCAAAUCACUUUUCUUAGUUUACAGAAUAUCUUUUGCAAUUUAUAGGAAAUAUGAUGUUAACCUUUAUUUUCCUCAAACAGGGUGUAUGCGAGAAUAAGACUCUGGAAUUUUACAUUAUCAGCUAUGACGACAUUGGUGGAGUGAGUUGUCGACGAGUUAGUGAGAAUAGGGGGCAAAACUCAGGCUACUCCCCUGUCUUCUGGACUACAGAUGCUACAUUUCUUGAACCACCAUUUUCUGAACGGGAGCUGGAUCGUUAUAGUUGCCUUGAGCAUAUUGGAGUCGUUACUUGUGGCCAUACAGAGACUUGGAACAAGGCAGUCUCUCGGAUACUGUGCAUCAAUUCAAGUUUUGACCUGGUUCAUCCUCAUCUGUUAGCUCCCUUUGAUGAUACCAGGAAUGUAGAGGGGAGGAUUUGGCUUUAUGAAGAUGGAACCUUUGGGUUCGGAUUCACUGGAAGUAAUUCAAUUAUAGAUCUGAAGCAUGUCUCCAUGGAUGGUUGUAUUAUUGAUACAUAAUCCUAAAGAUAUGUCCUUCUGGCAUGUAAUUGUUGCUAGGACUAGGAAGCCAUCUGUACAUCAUUGUUAGGAAAAAAAAUUGCAUCUGGCAUGAAGCAUAUUGCUUCCAGUUGUUGUACUACUACUAUAGAUGGCAAUUCGCCAGACCUGGCCCUUUGGUCUUGUACUUGUUCGUAGGAUAACCGUGUAUCCUGAUACUGCACUGAAUGGUGGUCCCUUCUGGCAUUUACUUGUUGCUAGAAUACCCUUGUAACAUUAUUACAAAAUUUAAUUCUCAAUAAAUUGGAGUUGUUACUUCUUCGUAGGUGCUGUUUUGUUGUCCCAUUUUAGGUGAAUGCUGUGCCGUUAAGGGCAGUCUUGUAAAACUUUGCAACUUCCUGUGCAAGUCAUCUGAUAUUGAAUGUUAAUGUUAUCUCAUGAUAAUAGAGAAGGUUAAUGUUGCCUUGUUUUCUUGUUUAUUUAAGGUUUUUGCUUUUUGUCAAAUGAACAAACUGGCUCUUGGUGUUGUAGAAAAGAUAUCAAGUGAUUCUUAUGGUAACAGUACUGUAUUAUAAUACUAGUACCACUUUUUGCUCAGCUAUCAAAAUAAUUGAUUCACCAAUGUAUCAGCUUAGCACUUCAGUUCAACAGCGCUGUGUGGAUAGGUAAACAGGUAAUGUUCUACUCUUGCAUAUAGUUUCGUAUUACUUGCAGUUACAUUUCUCAAGAGCAUAUAUCCCUGUGCUCCAUUCUCGAGAGGUAGUUUGCCUGUCAGAUCUCUGCAUAUAAUUUAAGUCGCUUGGUAUCUGGUGGUAAGUGGUAACAGUGAUUUACACAAUCUUAAGUUUCCAUUUCUUGUAUAUAAAUGCUGAUAUACUUGUCUUUCUAAUAAACUUGUAUCGUCUAUCUUUCUCCUCUAGGUGUAGAUUUGCUUAUCAUGAGCCCUCUUCUUCAGCGCAAGUCGCCAUGUGGAGCCCAGUAGUGAAAGGCCUGAGGACGCCUAGCUGUUUUUGUGGAAAUGCCUGUACAUGUACAUCACAUACGGUCAGCAAUUCAAGACCAGUGUGCUGUGUGCACUGUCUGCAGUAAUUAGUAGUGAUUACUACUUCCCUGGUAGAAUAUGGUACUGCCAGUCUGCCACUUUGCCAAACAGUAGGAAAACGUAUAGCUAAGAAUAGCAAGCAGAUGCAGAUUCUAUUGUUUGGCCAGGGGAUACACAAUAUCGCAAUAAAGAUAAGGAAUAGUUUCCCUGUUUCCUACUUUUAUGCUUCUAGUUCAUGAAGAUAAAGAUCCAUUCUAGGUCUAAGAUCUCUUUGGAGCUACUCGUCUUCAUUAUGUGAAAUGCCGCAUUAUCUACAUUUUACAUGUAUUUUUGGACUAAUAUUUUAUGUUGGUAUAUACUCCCUUCGUCCAAAAAUAAGUGCCGUGUCAAAUUUGGACCAAAACCACGGCAUUUAUUUUGGGACGGAGGGAGUACCACAUCAUUCAUCAUUCCGGUUGAUUAUUAGUUAUGACUGUCCCAUGACGCUCUUCAUUUUGGUACUGCAUAUGGCUAAUUCCUUACUCCAUUCUUAAUAUUCUCCCUUUACGACAUGUGUGUUAAGGUCCCUCGUAAUAAUUCUAUGUUGUCCUGCUGUCAUAAUUACAAAUAAGCAAAUGAUAUAAGUUGAUGGGAGGAAAUUGGCAUGCUAGUUGGUCAAAGGACAGCUGGUGAUGGUGUCAGGAUAUCCAAGCUGGGUGCCUGCCUGGUAAUCCCAACAGCUGGCAAGUGACUGCCAUGAUUGAUCCUUGAAAUUUAGAGCAACUUCUGAUCCUCUCAUACACUACAUUUCAGCUGGCAAGUGACUCUAGUUUUCUUUCCAGGGACAGGUUGGUCGUCUCAUGAUCUUGCAGCGUUCUGAUGGCCUUGUGCACUUUUCAGCUGGCAAUGAGAUUCUAGGGGCGCAAAUAAAUUGGAACUAGGUAGAAAAAUCCCUAUCUGAUUUAUGUAUCUGAACUAAUUUUGUCCAUCCUCUUGGGCUAACAAGCCGAAAUAAUGGAACAUAAAGAGGACAAAUCAUGUUGUGGCCAUUCAAAUCUUUCUCAGUGAAUGCAUUUUUCUAUACCCUGUUAUAAAUGGCCUGCCAGUGAUAUCUUAAGAUAUUUGCAUUGCUAAUGAUGCCACACCCUACAUUGUAUAGUAUAUUUGUAUCUUUGGAUGCCUCCUUUUUCAGUUAAUUAAGCAUAAAAGAAUACUUCUUCAGUACUGUAUCCCCAACACUAUAUGAUCUAUCAUUACUUGCUUCAACCCUGCUAGAAAGCUUUGUUCUAUCGUCCACGCACAAAAAAAUAUAUCAUGGUUGUACAGCUUGUUGUAAUGUCUUUUUCAGUACUGAUUAAUUAAUGGGCCUCCAAAUCUGUGCCAGUUCUUUUUGGGGCACCAGCUCAUUUCUUUUCUGUGGAAGGCUUAAAGUUGUUCAGAGUUUUAUUCUUUUUAAACAUAAAUGUUUUACCCCUAUUACCUAUUCUUUAGACAAAUGAUAAAUCAACUUACAAUUCUCUUGCUUGUAUGCGCAUAGACGUCGUCGAACCAGGUAGAGAUAUUUUGACUCGGAUAUAACAAGGUUUACAUGCGUACAAGGCAAUAACAUAAUUGUCUUCGGAAUGCACUUGAUCUCGAUUGGAAAAACUCAAAAGAACCACACAGCAGAAAGAUAUACUGCUCUGGUGCAAAUGCAGAAGGGCUCGUUAUUCAUCUCUGGAUAUCCUCAAGGACUGACUAAUACUCCGAGUCUUCAUCAUCCACUGACCCGGCACUCUGUGAUGUCUUGUCGUGGUCGUUCUCGAGCUGGCUGAAAUUACCCUUCUCUUUGAUCAGCUGGGUGUGGUGGUGCUUGCAGAAGAGCUUGCCCUCGUGCGCGAUGUAAUUCGAAGGGCUGAUGGUGCACCCUCCAUGGCAGCAUUUGAAGCAGCUCUUGUGGUACAUAGUGUUAUUCACAGUAACCUGCAGAGUUGGUGCAGGUGUCAUGACCAGAGCACUGUUAUGUAUGCAAACCAAAGAGGUAUGAUAUGAACAAUACGUCCGCGUCGCCUUUUCUUAUCACAGAAAAAGGAAGAUGAAUAAUUGAAUGCCCAACUUGGAAAUGCAGCAGAUGAAUAUGAAUGAAUCCAGCUACAUGUUGUUAAGUAAAGGAAACUCCAGCUAAAAAGUAGUAGUCCAGAGGAUAAUAAUGCAGAUACUUAAUUGAGACAUAAGAGUAGAAAAUAAUAGUACCCUCUCAAUUGGAUAGACUGUCUUGCUGCAUCCAAAACAUUUCUCUCUAGUGCCAGCAAAUGCGCUGGAGACUUUAGUAGCAUUCUGCCCAAAAAAAACACUCAUGAUAAGCAUCACCAAAUGUGGUACUAGCUCACAAAGAACAAAGGAUCAAUAAUGCCGAUUAGUUGCACGACUUUGUCGAUAAUCUGCCUAUCAGUUUGCAAAACGUCAUUUUCUAUUGAACUAAGCUCCCUAUCGGAUCCGGCGUUGCACUCACUUUCUUCUUAAUGAAUUACAUGGAGCUCUGUUGCAUGGUUCGAAAAGAAGAAGAAGAAUCUAUGUAUGUUUUGGAUUAUCUUGGGUGUGUGUUUUUGGAUCAUCUUUGGAACAAUAGUACUCCAUCUGUAAACAAAUAUAAGAGUGUUUAGAUCACUAUUUUAAUUAUCUAAACGCUCUUAUAUUUCUUUACGGAGGGAGUACUAAUGAUCUACUACACUCUGCAGAGAAUAGAUAAAUGUUAGAGGAGAUUAGUGGAUACCUCAUUCCCAACAUUCCUUUCUGGCUUGACAACCUUUGGAGUGCCUGAAUCAACAUUCCUCCAUUACUUUCUGAAGAAUUGCAAAGGAAUGCAGUGUGAUAGGCUAAGGCCGUACCUUCGAAGCUCUUGUCCAGGCUCCCGGUCCUCUUGAAGAGCUGGUCAAAGUGAGGCCUGCAGUAGAGCACUCCUUCGAACGAGUUGUAAUUUGCGAGCUGCGCCAGGGAAACAUAGAACAAGUUGAACAAGUGAUAUCUCAAAGUGAAUAUGAGGCAGGAGGACUGAGGAUUGGGAAGGGGGAAGAGUAGAGUGGUAGUACCUUGAGGGUGCCCUUGCAGUGGUGGCACCUGAAGCAGGCCUUGUGGUAGACCCGGUUGUCGGCGGUGAGCUUGUCGACGAGGUACACCGUCUUGUCGCAGGCGUUGCACUUGGUGGUCGUCCCCUGGAACGAAGUCGCCAUUGCCUCUCCCGAACUCUCGAUCUGCAAGCUGCUGCUCUGUUCUUCCAACACAAGACUGGCUUGGCUUCGCUCCCGACAAGCCUUGGGGUGAGUGAUGAUUAUAUGGUGGUAAAUGGCGUGGCGCGGUUGGUGGUGGCCGGCAGCUGCAGGUAUUGCUGUUUGCUGCCGCGAGGCGGGGCAGGACAGCUUGGGUGAGACAGGGAAUAAUGUUGGAGGUGGAAGCAAAGAGCCAGAACGAGUAGUAGUAGUCAAGUGGGAAUGAGAUUGUAGCAGCUCAAGGAAACGAAAAAGGAGGUGGUGGUUGUGGAAAUUUGCGGAGGGGCUAAGCAAAAUCCACGUGGUGACUGGUGAUGACGUGGCAGGGAGAGAAAGCAUUUGGGGUGAAAGGUAAAUGGCAGCUGAUUUCCAUCUUGGGGAUUUGAGGGGGCUAAAAAGCCACGGUAAUUUAUAUUCUUGACAUGCUCUCUCUCUCUCUCGUUAAGUGUAAUAAUCUUUGAGGGUCCCUGAUUGAAACGUGCUGCCAGCACACCAUAUGCACUGGAUGAACCAAAGCUCAGUCGGUGGGUCUGCUGGGGGAGAGCAUCUCCAAUAGAGGAUGUAAAAGUUGGUGUUCGAAAAUAAUAAUAAUAAGUUUUUAGACACCUGAAAUUUUUAAUUCCGUAACAUUAUUGCAUAUUUCAUAAUUUCUAACUCUAAUAGGAAAUGUUCAACAUUUAACAUUAAAACGACAUCACACUAGAUAACUAAAAACAGUUCUAUGGUAAAUCAUCACACUACUCAUCGUCACACCUACAAUACACCAUCAUGGGAAAGGCGUCUUUGUACGCACAAGGUACCCGUCCAAGUCGUCGUCGUCGGAUCCUGAUCUGGCGACUUUGGGAUUGCUCAGACUCAGGCCAGGCAAAUCCACGAUGGGCUUGCCGAUGCUGGCAGCGGCGACACUCGUGGGUGUCAUUUUUCUUCUUGGAGGCGCUGCCUUGGCCUUGAUAUGUGACCCUCGUCGAGCAGCAGGGGAAACCCUAGGUCCGGUUCUCCGGAUCGAAUGGCGACGGCGUCACAACGGCGUUCCCCUUCUUGAAGGCGCUAUCUUGCUAGAUCGUUGUGUCCCGGCGUUGGACUUGAAGAUGUUUGACGUCCUGUUGAUUUGGUUUGCUCCUCUAGUUUUAGUUUUGGUGGGUUUAGUUGUGUUUCACUCUGUUCGGGCUAAGCACCCCGUCUCUCUGCCCAGGGCACCAUGUUCAUGCCUCCUUGCAUUCAUGUCAUGUGUUGUAUCUACUGUUGUACUCAUUCUCUUUCCUUCUAUCAAUGAAAAGAUACACAAGCUUUGCGUAUUCGCAAAGUCGUCGUCGUCGAGUUGAUGUCGAUUGCCCCUCCGGCCGAGGGGCCUACCUCGUGGUCAUUGCUGGUAGAAGGCUUCACCUCCUCCUCAUCGAAACAACUUCCUUGUCAAUUUGGUCGAACAACUCAUGGACCUCGACUUCUAUACUGUGUUGGUGCUCCUCCUCCUCCUUCACGCGCUCCGUGUCCCUCUUGGCAUAGAAUGCAAGCUCUGCUACCACGAGUUCCGGGUUAGCCUGGGCCAGCUUCGUCAUGUGCAGCUAAUAAGUGGCCUCGGCUCUACGUGCCUUCUCUGCACUAGACCAUGGAAGGGGUGAGGAAUCUGUAUGGCCGGCCACCUCGGGGAAAUUGAGCUCGGCCAAGCUCCGAUCGUAUCGAACUGCCACUGUAUCAUAGGCGAGCACCGCGAGCUCCUCGGUCUCAAAGGUGCUAAGCCACUCAGGUGAUCUCGGCGGCGAAGUGGCCCGACGCCCGAUGACGAACACCACGGUACGGCAUGGCGCUCGCGAUGGCUAGUGCGACAACAUCUUCGACGGGAGGCAGCGGAGAAGCCCGGUGGCGACAAACAAAAUGACUGGUGGAGAAGCUAAGCUCGACUGCGGCUGACGAAACAAGCACCGAUGGCGGCAAUGGACGAAACAGACGCCCCACGACCGAAAUGGACAUAUCUAGUGGUGGGGAUGAUGGAUCCGGCGACGAUGGGCGGAAGCCGAUGGUGGCAGCCGGAUUCGUGCGGGGAUGUGGCACGACGAACGACAAAAAUGGGGACAGAUUUGGGGAGCAGAGUGGCCCGUGGCGGCCAGAAUCGGCGGCGGUGCCAUCCAGCGAUGAAGCACGCAGUGCCGGUCCUGAGAUUUUGAGGGCCCGGGCGAAAGUAAAAUUUGAGGCCCCUUAAUAUAAACAUCAUAGCAAUGAUAAAUAAUGAUUCUAAAAAAAGCAAUGAUAAAUAAUAUAUGCAUCUACAAAAUGUUACCAAUAAUUACUUAAAUGCACCCGAAAGCCAAUAUUUAUAUAAAAUAACUUAUACAAUUUGCCUACAAAUUUUCUUGUAAAAUUCUUCGAUGCAAAGCCAUUGUGCCGAUGUCAAUCUCAUCCAUCGAUUUCUUCUCGAUACAUAAUUUGUUCAUCAAUAAUUUCAAGUUGGAAAGCAUCUUUUAGCUAAUGCAACAAUCACCGAUACAGUACGUAAAUCCGAAUAAAUCUUUAAACACCAUGAGUUUUUUAAAUCCUUUCUUCAAAGAAGUGAUCAAUUAAAACAAACAAAUAGCAUGAUAAUCCUUCCAACUUCUAGAAUUCCUUCUUGGCUACCACUUUUAUCAAACUAUUUCUUCCUCUAGCAUGAAGUUUUACUGAAAAUUGUAGGAAAAUUACAGUAUGAUAUACCUUGGAUUGAUUAGAUCGGCGUCAGUGGCUGGACGCUCGGCGACGAUGCGAUGGCGUUUUCUGGUGGCAGGCACUCGGCGAUGUGCGUGCUGCGUCGUCGCUGCGUUCAGCGCCGGGAGACCUGUCUGCCCUGCGCGACCUGGGAUCUGGAGUUUUAAAACCAUGGAACAGAGAAUAGGAAAUUAGGGAUGAACUGAUGUCGCACGAUCGUUUUCUUUUGCUGAAGGAGAGUGUCUCGUAAUAAUAAUAACGGCACGAGGUGAUUUACGUGCAUACUUGCUCUUUUUUCCGUCCUGAUCGUACGCUGAUUGAAGCGAUUUACAUGCGUACGCUGCUGCCUGCCGUCCCUUUCUAUUUGGAUCUGGCUACUUCUUUUCCUUUUUUUUUUCUGAGACAAGGCUACUUCUUUUCCUACGAGAAGCUAUGGCUUAUGGGCUUCUUUACCUUCACGUAAUUACCUGGGAGGGGGGCCCUCGAUCCUGGGGGCCCGGGGCGGCCGCCCCUGCCGCCCCCCUCAGGGCCGGCCCGGAAGCGGCUGAGGGUUGGGAAACUUUCGCUGGAAGAGCGGGGGUGCGCGCCUAAAUUUAGGUUGUGAGGCAGUCCCACAAGUGCUAUAGAUUUGCAGCACUUGGAGCUAAAAUUUAAGGCCACUGCAAUUUUUCUUUACACUAAAUAGAGAUACAUCAUAUGUUGAAGCAGUAUUUUAACUCCAAAUGCCCCAAACCGUAUUUUGUUUGGACAUGACCGUUGUUUUACAUCAUCAAUUAGAGAUGUUCUUCCACGCAAAAAAAUAAAAUAGAGAUGUUCUUAUUUCCAGCAUGCGGUUGCUUCUUGUGCAAGUGGAACCAAGUCAGUUUGGCAAAUAUUUCUAGGUUGCUUCUUGUUAAAGUACUCACAGAAAAAAGUGCUAACAGAAAAAUCAAAGUGUCUUUUUCUUUUGUGUAAAUUCCAUUUCAAGUCUGUGCGCACUCCCUUCAACCUAAAAAAAAUGGUGAGUGCAUUCUGCACAAUUAGCCACAAGUGUUUCCCAAACUAGAAUGUCGAAGUGUUAGAUUACUCAACUGAUACAUCAGAAAAGCAAGACUGCAUUUCACUUUUACUUUUCUUCAUGUAAUUUGAAGUUUUCUGUUUAAAGUUUCACAGCUGGCUAAAAUCAAUACCUUCUUAUUUGUACGUUUUCUCAUACAAAAUACCACUUUAGCACUAUUUAAAAUAUAGGGCCGGCUCACUGAAGCUCGUCUUUCAAAGUAACUUUUCGCAUUCCCUAGCAUCUUCUAUACUAUCUCGGUCUCAUAAUACAAUAUGUUAUUACAGACAAUAUGGACAGAGGAGUGCAUGUCAAUUGUUCUUGUAAUUUCCCAUCAGUCCUUGUGUGUCGGCAGCUUAAUUAGGCUGCUACUGAGACAUGUGUCUAUGCGCUCGGGAGAAGGAAAGCCGCUGAUCUUGACCCCUCGAAUCCAAACAUAAUUAGAUUGUUUUUGUUACCAGUAAUCAAUCCACAGCCAUCAUCCGCCGACUGAAAUGCUCAAAGAGGUUCCUGAAAGACAAGGCCACCGCAACAGCCAAGCGAAAAAGGCAAGUGGGUCUGCCUGUGCAUCAACGCAACUCGUUGUCAGAAUCCCCUGUUGUUGCAAUCUUCACUCUUACUCAUUAUCUAUGACCCAUGUUUUCAAUACUCAAUUCAAUCAUGUAAUAAUAUGAUAUUCGUGUGUUGGGUGGCAUGUAGGUCUCUUCGCGGGACCGGGUCAACUCGUUUUCUGUAUUUUCAUCUUAUACUCUAUCUGUUUUUAUUUAUAUUGGCACCCAGAAACUCCAAUUGGGAUCAAUCAAGUGCACAUUUGCCAUGAACUGAUAAUGCAUGAACUGCAGCCACCGACAAGCAAGACGUCUUGAAAACCCAUGAUAAUGGCAAAUAAUGUACUGUAUUAUACAAUAAGACAACAGUCAACACAAAGCUAGUGCAGGUUUACUGGCUUUUACUGUUGUCAAGUUAUCAUGAAGGUCCCACACAAGUUCAGUUUAGUAGCCAAGUGAACUAGUACGCACUUUGAACUUCUUUGGAACAAAAGCUGAAGUAGUCUAAACUGAAGAAACAAACUAAAGAGCAAAACCUGAAGUAUGAACUAGUCUGAACUUUUACUUACCUGGAACCUUUUGCUGAACUGAAGCAUGCUUGGGAGCAAGACGAGAUUGGGGGUUUUGGGAGAACGUUGAGCAGUCGAGAUGAUGCAGGAGCGCAUCAGAAUGAAGGAGAGCGGUGGCGCUGCACGGGUGUCACCGACUGGGGAGGUGAUGCAGAUGGUCGAAAGUUAGCUAGUACGUAUACAACAAUAUUUUUUCAUAGCAAUAACGUUGAACACACAGUAUUCAUAGCUUCACACAGAAAAGACAGGGUGGAAGGCUUAUGAGCAGGCCCAUACGGCAGUCGGGACUUGCUGUAAAUGUUUGUAUUUUGAGAACAUUUACUAAUUUUUACAUAUUUUCUCUCCAUAUUUAUAAAAACAAUCUGAAAAAAAUGCCACACGAGUGACACGAAGCAAUCUGGCCCUGACUAUUUUACAACUAAAAUUGCCAUAAAAAAACAAAUUAAAAAAAAACAACAGAAACUUGCCAUCUGAAAAGAAAGUAGCCAUCAUCACUAAACUUGCCAUAAAAAAUGUCCGGAGUUAUCAUGUGUUCGUGUCACACAUGUGGCAUUUAUCAUGAUCUUUUUUAGGCCAGGUUGUCUACAAGAGCGACCGACAUACUCCUAACCGUCACAUUUUUUUUAGCGGAGCUCCUAAUAGUCAUAUGUAUCCCCAAAAUGUCACUAUAAAGCCUGCAUAAACGCUCCUGGGCCGCGGCCCAGUAGACCAUUUGCUUGUCGCUUGCUCGCCCACGCUAGGCGAGAGCAAUUAGCUGGGUAGUUCUCCUAAAAAAAGUUGGGGAGUACUCGUUGCGGGGUUCCUGCAAGUGUUUAUUUUUGGGCGCACUCUCAAUCACCGCCACGUGUUGUCGCAUGUUGGACACUUUCUCAUGAUUUCAUUUUUUUGUACGCAUUUUCGGUUUUUAGAUGAACUUUUUCAGUUUUUCCUAGGUUUUUUUUAUAAAAAUUCAAAAAAAUUGAGCAAAAAAAAUGUGUUUUUUUCUCUUUCGCGAGAGUCACGGAUUUACUUCUCGUGGAGGCGUAGAUAUGCUCCGGCGAGAGACACAACAGUGCCUCUUGGAAAAGGAAAACCGUGUUUUUUUUCCUUUCGCGUGAGGCACAAAUUUGCUUUCAUGAGAGGCACAUAUGUGCCUCUCAGAAAAAGAAAAAAACCCCUGAUUUUUUGCUUCCACGAGAGGCACGACUUUACUUCACGUGGAGAGUUGUGCAUCUAGGAAAAGGGAAAAAUGUGUUUUCUUUUUUCCCGCGAGAGGCAUAGAUUUGCUCACGUGAGAAGCACGGUUAUGUCUCUCAAGAAAGGAAAAACAACGCCUUUUUUCGCGAGAGGCACAUAUUUGCUUCGCGUGGAGAUGCAUAUUUCCUUUUUCCGCAAGAGGCAUUCGAUAUUUUUGACUGUUUUUUGUGUGGAAAAAACUUCGCUGAAAUCUAUAAACAUGAGAUCUAGUUUUGAAGAUCUCGAUGCGAGGAAUUCAAGGCAAAAACGGUUUGGGAUUUAGACACACGGUUUUCAAGAGAUAAAACAUUUUGAAUAAACAAAUUCUAUGAAAAAAGGAAACUCCAAGGUUGCGACAAGUGAUGCACAUGCAGGGCACCGCUUCUCCCAAUUUGGGGAAGUGGGGAGUGACCUUUGUAAAGAGUACUCCUUAAUUAAUGAUUUCAACACUUGGCAACCUACUUUUUUUCUACUCGGUUUUCCUUGCCACUGUGUUGUCUCGGAGAAAAACCAAACUGGCUACCUCUCUUUAAUUUUGAAAAAGGUGAAAUACAAAAGCCACGGAUUUAAAAAAACAGGAUUUAAAACAUGCGUGAAUUUUAAUAAAUAUUCAUGAAUUUGAAAAAUGAUUAAAAUAUUAAAAAUAUGAAUUGGAGAAAAGUUCAUGGUUCUAUAAAAAUGUUCAAAUUUGGAUAAUAUUCACAAAAGUUUAGAGAAUUCAUUAAUCUUAAAAAAUAUUAACAAAACUGAAAAGGUUGACAGAUGUAAAACUUGUUAAUGAAUUUUUUAAAGUUCACAUAAUUGAAAAAUGAUCAUGGAGUUUUAAGAAAAUGAAAAAGGAAAAUAGAAAAGAAAAUAAAAAUCAAGUAUAAAUAAAAAAUAAUACACACACAAAAAUGCAACCCGAAUCUUCCCAAAAUUGGAACGUGUUGGACAUACAUGGGCCGGCCCACUUACAAAACUAAGCGAUGGGAGGGUGUGCACUUACCAGGAACCGUUUAAUGCUUAAAGCGUCAAAUAGAAAAAGUGUCAUUCUAAUCUCGAGUUCAAAUGCUCUUGCACGAAGAGUAAAAAAAGGGGAAAUGUGUUUUUUUACAAUAAACAUUUGCUUAGUUUUCUGCCCGCGUGCAAUUGUUUGCGAUGAAAUCACAUUCGUUGUGGUUUGGGCAAAAAUAACAAAAUCAUCAAUUCAAAAUGCUUUCAAAAACAAUAAUUUUGAAGAUUUUUUUCCAGAGCAUUAGGAAUGUCAUUUCUUCACGCAUAAGGCAUAGUCAAGCCAAGAUCACGCUGACAGAGCACCACCUCCCCACGAUUCAUUGGUCACACAAGCCAUGCCAAGCUUCAAGCUGAAGCCCUUAAGAGGAAAUGUGACAUUGAGUGCCAUCAUCACUUGAUCGGGGAGACUCGGACCUGGAGUUACCCCCAGAGCAUGUCGGGGGGAUAGACAAGCACCGUAGCAUGCCACCUUCAACAAGGGGGCAACACCCACAAGUACCGCCAUCGUUGGCUUCGACCGGAACCGAAGUUCGACUUUCACAGAUAGUUUCACCACACCAACCCAUAGCAUGCUUGUCGCCAGGACGCCAUUCACCAUCACAGCAGGCAAAGCAGUUGCAACCUCUUGCGAACAAAUAUCGCCGCCCCACAUGGGGCCUCUAGAUCUGGGACCAAAUAGAUCCGGAACAAAGUUGUGCCAAAGCCACACCUCAACACGCUGAGGCCGCCGCAUACCUUGUGCAUCAACGCCGACGCGCCCACUACCCCUCCACCCCACGCAUCCACGUCAUAGCAUGCCUUGGGCCAAAAAAGAGCACAACUGCACCAGCACAUUUAGCCACAAGACCGAAGCCAUAAGGCGUGAGAACGCAAGCCAGGCGGCUUGAGAGACUAGGCAUAGUAGCGCAAGUGCCGACCAGCCGCCUGCCACACACAUCGGGACAAGGCGUCACCACUCCACGACAUCCCGUGGGAGAAGGAGAUCGUGCCAGAUCCACGCCAAACGACAGGUGGCUGACGACCAAGCGCACCACCUUCACCAUCGCAACCACGGACACACUUCCUUCGCCAAGGAGCACCUAUGACACGCGUGGAGAAGCUUUCGACCGUUUGUCGCUACAGGAACCCUUUCUCGAAAAAGCACCACCGUAGUUCGCCAGAGCCACUCCGCCGUCAGAUCCGCGUGGGCAAAGCUCAAUGGAAAGCCAUCUGGCGGCGGCUAGUGGGGGGAGGGGUGAAGAAGCUAGCCCUGCACGAGCUUUUGGCGAGCUACCAUCCGAGCCCUGGGGCGAGGAUGACGCGGGGCCGUCCAAGCAGUCGUCAGUUUUUCCAAGUGAUUGUUUAGGAUUUUUUUUUAAGUUGUGAACUUUCAUCAAAUUCAGGAACAUUUUUAAAAAUUUAUGAAUAUUUUUAAUAUACAUGUUUUUUUUUAGAAUUCAUGAACUUUACUAGUCUUCUCGUAUUUUGGGUUAUAUUUAGACGCUAACUUUAACUAAUAAAAUGUAGGAGUACUAUGUAGCAAAAAUACUAUCAUUAGAAACAGUAUUUAAAUACAGAUCUAAUAAUAUAAUUUUUAAUGACAUAAAUUAAUAGUUUAAUGGUCAAUAUAUGGUGAAAUUUUAACGGAAAAUACGAUGGGACUGAUAAUGCGGAACAAGGCAGCAGCUGUAUAUAAUGCACGUUCACGGGCGAGCGAUAGCUGCAACUCCCGAGACAACCCACACGGAGUCACACCUGAUCCGACACGUGCAUCUUGUCCGUCCACAGCUGUUAACACCACAGUUCUACGCCCGGAAGCUUCGCGCCAGCGCCACAAGGAAACGUUGAGCGGCGCACGGCCAUGCACGACGCGCCGUACUCUGCUCUCUCACGCGUUCUCUUGUGACUCAUCCCACUCCUGUCCCCCACUGGAUCUAAGCCCUACUUGCUAGCGGGUAUAAAUAACAAGAUGCAUAUAGCUGCAGCUGACCAGAGACGAGCUCGACCGUCCAGCUAGCAUCGGCGACCAGAGGAGCCAGUUUGACACUCAACAGCCGCGUCGAUCGAUCGGAGUUGCACGGGACGCAAGCUAGCGCGAGCCGGUGGUAGCGUUGUAGUACACCGACAUCAUCGACCCAUCCAUGCAUCUGCUCCAUGGGUCUGCUAUGAUCGGUGGCAGCUGCGGCGGUAGAGCUCUCCGGCGAGUCGACAGCUCCCCGAAGCCGUCCUUGUGCCGGAGCGACGCCAUGAAGAAGAAGAGGAGCAAGAGGUCCAGGCUCUCCGCCGCGCUGCGGGAGCUCAGGCUGGCGGCCAAGGCGAGGGACAAGGAGGGGCUCCUUCAGAUCCUCGUCACCGGACACCGCACCAGCCGCGGAGGAUCCGGCAACGGCGAGCGCACCGGCGGAGCAUCGACGGAGCGCAGUGUGGCUGGCACGGGCGACGACCAGCGCGCGACACUGCGGUGGCAGGGACGCGGUGUCGAUGCAGCCGGGCGUGCGGAUGGUCCUCUUCUUGAGCUGGGGAGACCGACAGCAACCGGGGGAGCCAGCUGCGGCGGCCGUCGUUGCCCGAGUUGGGCGCUGGCAGUGGCGCUUGUGCUCGCGCUGGUUUGCGUGGUAGCGCUCGGGACGGCGCCGGCCAUCUGUUGCUGCACCUGCGCGGCCUGGUUGUGCGGCGGCUGCGGCGCGCAGGAGCAUGCAUCUGACCGGCGGCGGGGCGGCUCCUGCCGUGGCAGCGUCAGAGUAAUGCAGCAACAAGCCGGUAGUACACUGUAUCAUGCAGAGGUCACCAGUGGGUGAACUGUAUGAAUUUUGCAUAUUCUUUAUUUUCUAUGGGAGAAUAUCACAUGAAAACCGACGUUGGAUUGAAAUCAAUAAAACCACAUGAAAACAAUGGCUUGAAGUUUUGAAAAGAUCUAAAAAAUAUGAGAUCGGGUGAUGUUCUAUUACUAUAAAAAAAAUUCAAGAUUUUUUUUUCGAAAGUACGUCAACGGCAUAACUUAUCUUUAUAAAAGAGGGAGGAACAAUUUACAAAAGAAGCCAAGAAGAAGAUGCACACAUCCCUUCUCAGCCACACCACAUUACACCCCACUUUAGACUAAAGCCUACUCUCUCACAAAAUGUGACAACCCUCCUACUCUUACGCCAGCCUCUCUUCAGUUCUGGAUCUCUCUUAGGAUGAACUCCACUAGUUAAUGAGCCGACCUUUGUUGCGCCGUCUUGUUGAAGAUAGGCGCUUUGCGCUGUUUUCAUAACACCCAAGUCACUACAAUAACAAAGAUGUCGAACCCAUGUUUAAGUUCCUUACCGAAACCCCUUCUGGCAUUGAGCCACCAAUCCAACCCCUUCUGGCAUUGAGCCACCAAUCCAACAGGUUGUUAUCCAUUUUUGGUUUCUCCAUGUUCAAGUUAAGUUUCUGAAGACAUUCAUGCCAUACUUUCUUCGCGUACACACAUUGAACCAAAAUGUGUGGUUCAAUAUGUGCUCGGCGUUGUCUUCAUCCUGCAGGCAAGUGAAGCAAGGAGACGGCCGAUCUUGUAGCCCGUGUUUCGCUCUCCGAUCCGACGUCCUGCUGCACUGCCAACCAGACAAAUAUUUUGCACUUAAACAGUGUCCAGCUCUUCCAAAUGCAAGUUGCAUAUGAUACCCUCUGGAUUUCGAGACACAAGCGGUUAUACGUGGACCUCACAAAGGUGAGGUCUCCACCCACAUCAUGUAGCCAUCACGCAUUCUUCAAGCUCUCACUGAUUGUACGCCUGUUCCUAGUGCGAGUGUCCACCAUAUAAUGAAUCAGUGGUGCGAUGUCCUCCACCGCAAAGCCAUGUAUCCAUAUGUCCCUCCAAAAAAGCACCUUGCUCCCGUCCCCCACUUCAAUCUUGACCAGGCUAUCAAACACCGCUCGUGCCUCUAUCCUCCGUCAUGGCCAGUCCAUGCCAUGGCCUCUGUGGAACCAUUCUUUUUAACCAUUCCCAUCUGACCCUAAGAGCAAGGCCUUGAAGCUCCAGAUUUCUCACUCCCAAACCACCCAUCGAGGUGGGUCUAGAAACCGUGCUCCACGCCACCAAACACUGCCCACCAUUCACUUUCUCUUUGCCAGCCUAGAAAAAAGCGCGCAUCCAUUGGUUGAUCUCCUCCAGCACCCAAGCCGGUGCCUUCGCGAUCAUGAAGUGGUGGAUAGAUUUUGCCGCGAUCACUGACUUAACUAACACCAGCCGACCAGAGCGUUGGAGGAGUCCCCGUUGCCACGCCAGGGCACACUUUUUCGCUUGGUCCACCAUGGGCAGCCACUCGGCCCUGCUCAGUUGCUUGAUCGCGAGCUGCAAACCCAAGUAUCUACAAGGGAAACUUCCCAUGUUACAGUUCAGCAGAGUCUGCACUCGGUCUCUGUCCGCCUCAUCACCAUGGAUCAUAAUUGCUAGCGAUUUAUGGUAAUUUAUGCUCAGCCCCGAUGCUUCCGCGAACGCCUGCAAAGCUUCUUUUACGAACCUUAAAUCCACCUCCGCGGGUUUGACAAACAGCGCCACGUCGUCCGCGUAAACAGACACGCUUUGGUCAGCCGAUAUCCCGGUGAGUUUACUCGUCACCCCCAUCGUAGCAGCUUUGAUCAUAAUCUUCGACAACACCUCCAUUGCGAUGACAAACGACAACGGCGAGACUGGGUCCCCUUGACGUAACCCUUGCACAUGCCGAAAAUUUCUCCCGGGACUCCCAUUGACAAGAACUUUCAUGGACGCCGUCCUCAGCAGAAUAGACACCCAGGUCAUCCACUUCGCUCCAAACCCCUUGUGCGUCAAGACCUUGAAAAGGAACGGCCAGGCGAUCGAGUCAAAAGCUCUGGAUAUAUCAAGUUUGAGGAAGACUCCUGCUUCCCUACGGGCAUGGAUCUUCCUAGCCACCUGGCGGACCAGCAAGAAGUUCUCAUGUAGGUGCCUCCCACAUAUAAAAGCCAAUUGGUCAGCUGCCACGAUAUCCUUCAUCCUCUGCCGGACCCGGUUGGCCAGCAGCUUAGCAAUUUUUUUGCCAUGCUAUGGGUCAGACUAAUGGGGCGAAAGUCGCCCGCCUCCUCUGCCUCCGGUUUCUUGGGGAUCAGAACUAUAUGUGCUCGGUUUAACUUGCCAAAACCCCGACCAUCGCCAACAUAAAGCUUCAUAAAUACCGCCAUCACGUCCUGCUUGAUAAUGCUCCAUGCCUUCUGAAAGAAGGCAACGAUGAACCGAUCUGGUCCCGGCGCUCGAUCCGGAGGCAGAUCCUUGAUAGUAUCCCAGACUUCCUCCUCCGAGAAGAUCUCGUCCAGCUCUGAUAGAUCAUGCGACUCCAUCCCCAGAAACUCGAGAUCCACCUCCAACGCCCUCGAAUGCGCCCGACCCAAUAGUUGCUCAUAAGUCUCCGUGAAGAUUUCUUCUCUCCGGAGCUGAUCCGUAAUCAACUCCUCAUUGUGCCUCAGGUGCGGGAUAAUUUUUUUGACCUACGGCCAUUAGCCACUGCCUGGAACAACUUCGUGUUAGCAUCUCCCUCACGAAUCCACCUUAACCGCGAUCGCUGCCUCUCAAUGGUACGCUGCAGGGAAACCAACCCUAGUAAUGCGUGCUUGAUCGUACACCUGAGCCAUCUUUCCUCAGUCAUGAGGGCACGGGACUCCAUGGUGCGGUCCAAUCUCAAUAUAAUGAAAUUCGCAAUGGCCAUCUGCGUCUUAAUAUUUCCAGUUUUCUUCUGUCCCCAAGCCUGUAGGGCGGUCGCCGUGUUACGAAGUAGCGUAUCCAACCUCUUAAAGGGAUCUACAAUGAGAUCAUCGCACACCCAAGCAUCACGGACCGUCUGUUCGAACCCAUCCAGCUUCAGCCAAUACAUCUCAAAACGAAACCUUUUGUUCACACAAAAGGUGCAGAGGCGGUUAAGUGCAGCGGGGUAUGAUCCGAAAUGUUUGUAGAGAGAGCUUGCAACAACAUAUCCGGGUAGUUUAGCUCCCAAUCUACCGACACUAGCACGCGGUCAAUUUUCGUCAUAACCGGCCGCUCCCUUUCAUUCGACCAUGUAAACCACCUCCCAUGCAUGUAUGGUUCCUUGAGUUCGCAAUCGUCCACAAAUUCUUUGAAUCUUCUCAUAAUCCUCCGGUUCAGAUUGUUAUUACUCUUCUCAUCCGCCCGUAGGAUCAUAUUGAAAUCCCCGAGCACCAUCCAAGGUCUCAGACAAAUGGCAUGUCUAUUGUGUAGCUCAACAAGAAAUUACAUCUUCGCAUCAUCCCCUUGCGGUCCAUAAACUACGGUCACCCACCAUGUCGACCCGUCCUUAGUGUGCACCAGCCCCGUGAGGGAAUGAGUAUCCAUGACAAUGUUAUCCACCUCCAACAUCGUCGUGUCCCACCCCAUAAGAAUCCCGCCACGAGUGUUAGACGCCGACAAGUAGGCAAAACCAUCAAACGAUGGCCCCAUACGUUGCAUUACCAUAAAAGGAUCGAUUACAUCAAGUUUCGUUUCUCGCAAGCACGCUAGGUUCACUUUGGCUUCAACCACAAACUCCCGAACGACAUUCCUGUUCGCUGGGUUGUUCAACCCCCUCACAUUCCAGCAUAGCACCUUUGGAUUCCAAUCCAUAGAAACUAGAUGCCCUCCUUAACUUCCUCCAAUGCGGGCACCUAUGCCGCUCCCACACGACUGACGCACCGAUGACCAUGUCACUCACCGGCGGCACCUCCUUGCCGAACAAAACCGCGAUGACCCGGAUGUGCUGCUCCCUCAAUGGUGACUCGAAGAUCUCGGCCAACUCAACAAUGUUGUCAUCGUUCCCCUCCAAAUCCUCCGGAACUAUCCCAAGUGCACUCAUGAGCACAUUCUCAGCCUGCGUAGCUUUGCCCAUCUUGGUGACCGAGGCUCGCUUGGAACCCCUUGUCGUGUGGCGCGGUGUGAAAGGCUCAUCCUAUGGCCUUAGGGUGGACUACACCUCCAAAAGAAGUGGUGGCGCUAACUUAUGCACGAGCGCGUUACAAAACCACUUGAGCUUCCCAUAUGCCACUGCCUCCUAAGGGGUCAUUCCACUCGUGCAUGCCUGAAACUGCCCUUGCAUGUUCAACUCAACGUGCACAUCACCCUGUUCCCCAUACACCCCCUGGUCAUCCGCCACUUGGCGCGAACACAUCGGUUCCUUGCAUGCGGGAGAUUCUCCCUCCAUUAGCACUUCCAUGCAUGCAGGAGCACUAGCCCUAAUCAUUGGUGGGUCCAGCUGCCGAUCCCCUGCGGACUAGUCCUCCAAUGCGGGCAGCGCCCCACCCGUGUGCUCACCAGCCAAAGCCACCACGUGGCCGCCCCUCAAACGCUCCGGCACGAUCUUCCCAGCGGUGUCCACCACCUGACUCGUCCCAACUAGACUAAGGCCCGCAAGUGGCCUCACAGCUGUCUCUUGCCCUGCCCCCGGGCCCCCAGUAUCCACCUCAUGCUCGCUGUGCACGGGCCCCGCCACCAAGCGGCUUUCCACCGGCCUAUCAGCAGGCAGCUGUGCUGUCUCCGGGCCCCCAUCGCUAGCCUCGGCAUUGGCCCUUGCCAUCCCCACCUCCAACAACCUGACCUCGCGAUCCGCAACGACCACCGGUCCCAAAACAUCCUCCCUCUCCUGCCGCCCUGUGGGGGCCACCACCGCCUCCUGCCUUGACCAGAUAGGCACAAGCGGCGUGCCACCGACAGGGCGGGCCCAACUCGUCUGAUCCGCAGAGCGUGUGGCCCCCUCUUGGGUCUGCACCCCCUCCAGAUCCUUGUCGCCUUUGUCGCCAAGCUCAUUCAAAAUUUGAACCUCCCGGCACGCAAUCUCCUCCACCUGCCGCUCAGCGCCACCCAACCGGUCAAAAGCAGAACGACGGGACGUCAGCCUAUCCUAAACAGCCACACCGGGCCCACGACCACCCACCCGCUACACUGGCUUCAUCGAAGAGAUCCGCCAGUCAAGCUGGCCGGCACCAACCGAUCCACUGGCGUGCUGCCGGCCCACCGCCGCACCACUACCCCCGCCCGCAUUGGCUCCCCUACGGUCGCGGAUGCCGAAUUGCCAAUCUAACCUGCGGGUGUGUUGGGGAACAUAGUAAUUUCAAAAAAAUUCCUAAGCACACGCAAGAUCAUGGUGAUGCAUAGCAACGAGAGGGGAGAGUGUCGUCCACGUACCCUCGUAGACCGUAAGCGGAAGCGUUAUGACAACGCGGUUGAUGUAGUCAUACGUCUUCACGAUCGACCGAUCCUAGUACCGAACGUACGGCACCUCCGCGAUCUGCACACGUUCAGCUCGGUGACGUCCCACGAACUCACGAUCCAGUAGAGCUUCGAGGGAGCGUUCCGUCAGCACGACGGCGUGAUGACGGUGAUGAUGAAGUUAACGACGCAGGGCUUCGCCUAAGCACCGCUAUGAUAUGACCGAGGUGGAAUAUGGUGGAGGGGGGCACCGCACACGGCUUGGAACAAUCAACUUGUGUAUCUAUGGGGUGCCCCCUCCCCCGUAUAUAAAGGAGUGGAGGAGGUGGGAGGGCCGGCCCUCUAUGGCGCGCCCUGGAGGAGUCCUACUCCCACUGGGAGUAGGAUUCCCCCUUCCCUAGUUGGACUAGGAGAGAAGGAAGUGGGAGAGAGGGAGGAAGGAAAGGGGGGCGCCGCCCCCCUCCUAGUCCAACUCGGACCAGAGGGAGAGGGGGCGCACGGCCUGCCCUGGUCUCCUCUCUCUCUCUCUCCACUAUGGCCCAAUAAGGCCCAUACUCUUACCGGGGGGUUUCGGUAACCUCCCGGUACUCCAGUAAAAUCCCGAUCUCACCCGGAACUAUUCCGAUGUUCAAAAAUAGGCUUCCAAUAUAUCGAUCUUUAUCUCUCGACCAUUUCGAGACUCCUCAUCAUGUCCGUGAUCAUAUCCGGGACUUCGAACUACCUUCGGUACAUCAAAACACAUAAACUCAUAAUGCCGAUCGUCACCGAACGUUAAGCGUGCGAACCCUACGGGUUCGAGAACUAUCUACACAUGACCGAGACACGUCUCUGGUGAAUAACCAAUAGCGGAACCUGGAUGCUCAUAUUGGUUCCUACAUAUUCUACGAAGAUCUUUAUCGGUCAAACCGCAUAACAACAUACGUUGUUCCCUUUGUCAUCGGUAUGUUACUUGCCCGAGAUUCGAUCGUCGGUAUCUCAAUACCUAGUUCAAUUUCGUUACCGGCAAGUCUCUUUACUCGUUCCGUAAUACACCAUCCCGCAACUAACUCAUUAGUUACAUUGCUUGCAAGGCUUAUAGUGAUGUGCAUUACCGAGAGGGCCCAGAGAUACCUCUCCGACAAUCGGAGUGACAAAUCCUAAUCUUGAUCUAUGCCAACUCAACAAGUACCAUCGGAGACACCUGUAGAGCACCUUUAUAAUCACCCAGUUACGUUGUGACGUUUGGUAGCACACAAAGUGUUCCUCCGGUAUUCAGGAGUUGCAUAAUCUCAUAGUCAUAGGAACAUGUAUAAGUCAUCACUACAAAAUAAAUACACUUCCGUGAUGAUACGUGUUUGUCACAGUAGGUCACGUUUUCUGUCAUGCAUGUACAUCCAUGACGAUUUUAUGACAGAAUCAAGAUAGUCAUACCUGUGCUGUCGUAGAAGUGUUCCAUGACAUAACCAAAAUUAUCAUCACGGAAGUGUCCACUUCCAUGACGAUAAAUCGCGCGUCACAGAAGUGCUUUCGUCAAGGGUGACCGACACGUGGCAUCCACCGUAACGGAACGCCGUUAAGCUACCAGGUCUGGUUUUGGAUCCGAUAACCCAUUAACAGCCCCGACCAGUGGGGAUUUUCCAUGUGUAAAAUCAUCAUUGGCUGGAGGAAACACGUGUCAGCUCACCGUUGGGACAGAUGUCAUCCACUCAUUGGACCCAAAGCGCCUAUGAUACGUCGACACGUGGCACGGCGCAACAGAGGCCCCAUUCCUGUGAAAAGGCCGGCCCGUUUGACUUGGUCAAAAGGUGGCGGGCCGGCCCACGGCAAGCCUGUUAACGACAUGUUCGCAUAUAGCCCAUUUAUAGCCCGCUAACCCAGGGCCCAUUUAGGGCCUAUCCGAAUUAGGCCCAGUAGCGUCAUCUGGGCUGUCCAAUAUAAUUCCAGCCCGUUUUAACUUGCGACCCAUGUAUGGCCCAUGACGUCUUUCGGCCCAUAUGAGGCCCUUUGUAACUCUCGGCCCAUUAACGGCCCGUGGUAAAACUGGCCCGUAAUGAACAGUGUAUCACUUUAUACCCAUUAACAACACGUGGUGAAACUGGCCCGUAAUGAAGAGUGUAUCACUUUAUAUCCAUUAACGGCCCAUUAUUCCGUUGGGCCGUUUCCAACCCAUGUUAUCUUUCGGCCUUCUCAGGGUCCAUUUAUUCUUGGGCUCAUUUCUAGCAUUCGUUUACUUAUGGCCCGUUACUGUCAUUUUCUGCUUGUGGGCCAAAUUCAGCCUGUGGUUAUAGUCGGCCCGUUUGUGGCCUGUUAAUACGUUGGGCCGUUUUCAUAGCGUUAUCAAAUACGGCCGAUUAACGACGACCCGUUAUGGUCGGCCCAUGAACGGGCGAUUUCAACUCUAGCCCAUUUACGACCAUAAUGUGGUCUGUUAUUGGCCCAUGUUUGGCCAACCGAUCAUACGGCCCGUAGAAGGCCCAUUGAUGAUACGGCCCGUAGAAGGCCCAUUGUGUCUACGGCCCGUAUAAGGCCCAUUGUUUCUACGCCCCGUAGAAGGCCCAUUGUUUCUACGGCCCGUAGGAGGCCCAUGUUAACUAAAGUAAAUAUGUAGCCCAUGGUUAUUGUGGCCUAGUUUUAAAAAAUAGGUUAUUGCGGCCACUAGCAAACCGCGGAAAAAGAACUACACUGACUACAAGAAAACAAAUAAACAAGACAAUAAGGAAAUAAAUUAGCAAGCAACUUAUGCUAGGCUAUCACGGCUAUUACACAUAUUACAUCCACUGGGCAUCAAAGUUCGCCACCAGUGCAAAUAUAGGGAACAAAGCAGCAUAUAAACGCCGCAACAAAACAAGUCCAGAACUGAAACCACUUCAGAAGGGCUCAAGAAACAAUAUCCUGGGUACCCAUAAUGCUGGCAAGAUGCUUAGCAAGCUUAUUAACUUUCUCUUGUUUGGCGCUUAAAUCCUCCAGCACUUGCUGUUGCACCAGAAAGUAUGCAUCUGAAUUCUGUAGGGACUUCCUCAGUCCUUCGGCUUCCUGUUGCAUAACAUCUGAUCGAUGUCUUUCAACUUGAAGUUGAGACUCAAGAAGCCGAACUGAUUCAGGCAGCGAGUUCGAAGAGCUGGUGCCAGCAGUAGUAGCCAGUAACUCAAACACUACAUCAAGACAGGACUUUGGGGUUGUCUCAGUGUCUUCAAUAUAGUUUUUAUCAGCUUUCUUGGAGACCAACAGGGAUGUCUCACUAUCUUGAACCUUAUCUGCAUUACUUCCUUUACCAUUGCAUAACGGGAUACUCUUCUCCAAUAUUUUAUCCGCGUUCUAAGAGAAACAAACAAACACAUCACAGGUUUACAAUGUAGUAUAUGAAACUCAUUUUGGUAAACCGGUUCAGUAGUAAGGUGGACAGGAUAACAUCAUGAAACAAACAUAUAUCUAUGUAGUAUGGUCACUGUAUGGUCUAUAUCAUUCUAGUUUAUGUUGCCAAAUCAAGAUAGAUACAGCUCGAAUCAUAUCUAUUUAAGACAAAGCAGCAUAGACAGAAUAUAAGUGUGGGAAACUACACAGCAAUAACAACACUUGUAAUGUGCAUGGCAUGAGAACAUAACUGUUUAUUCAAUUGAAACCGAAAUCAACAUAGAGCAAGUUACAAUAGCAAACACGUUAAAGAAACAGGUUUAAAACAUACCAGUUGCGCCAUUGGAGUUUCAAUUGCAUCCUUCAAAUUUGAAAUUAGUUGGUAUGAGUAAAUAUAGUGAUGCAAGAGCAAAGUAGUAUGAACCAUAGCUACGGAACCUGACCUGAGAACAAUUCUUCUUCUGCUUUAAGCGUUGACUUGGGGUUCGAAGUGGUGGUCCUCAUGCUUUGGGCACUGCAGUUGCCUUACUAACUGCUCGUGUUUGGGUGCUGUGUGGUGGAGACGGUGCUGUGUCAAUGGGAACUGGGUUACUAUCUGCUGGGGUUGGGGUUAGAAGGGGUGUAGCUGGUUCUCUGUCCAACUGGGUAGGGGUACAAUCUGCGUGAGUCUGGGUUAUGUGUGGUGGGGCUGGUUCUUGGGCAAGUACAACUGUGGUUCUAUCUCCAUCGACAGGUAGCACGAUCUUUUCUGAAGACCGUGUUUUUACUCCCACAGAUACUUCCAUCACCCCCUCCAAUUGAAAUGGCUGAUAAACAAGAAAAGUAAUUGAAUGUACAGACAUUGUAAGAUAGACAGGUGCAAUGGGUAGUAGGGAAGAAAAUAGGGCAUGAAAUAAUUCACAUAUAUAAACUAAGCUAUGUCAUUUGCUUAGUUUAGACAUGCUUUGUUGCAAGACAUUAUAUAUGUGAAUUAUGCAAUGCCAUCUUGUUGCAAGACAUUAUAUAUGUGAAUUAUGCAAUGCUAUCUUGUUGCAAGACAUUAUAUAUGUGAAUUAUGCAUAAUUCACAUAUAUGGUAAUUAGACACUAAACAGGUGGCAUUCACACAAAGCAUGUCUAAACUAAGCAAAUGACAUAGCAAUGCAAGAUACCAUACGCACGAUAUGAGCAACAUAACCCUGCCAAGUUAGAGCAUGCACCUCGGGGGGGGGGGGGAAUAGGACUGGUCAUCUGUCUCUGAAUCCUCCUCUGAGGAGCUAUCUGUAACCAGCAAGACAUGCGCUUCGUCAGAUAACAUUGUCUGCUCUGAAGACCUUGUUUCCACUCCAGAUUUUUCCAUGACCGUGCCGAAUGGCUGAUGCACAGGAAGAGUAAUUGAAUGUACUAAAAUUGUUGACAAAUUUAACACGUAAUAAAAAAAUGAUGUCAUGAUAUAAUUCACAUAUAAGAUGACUGGCUAACCAGGGUGGCAUUGCAAAAUUCACAUAUAUGAUGCCUGGCUAAACAAGAUGGCAUUGCAUGAUUCACAUAUACGAUAAAGAAACUAAACAAAUGGCAUUGACACAAAGCAUGUCUAAACUAAGCAGAUCACAUGUUUGAUGUAUACAGUAAGCAAUGCAAGGCACCAUAUGCAUGAUAUUACCAACAUCACCAUGCCAAGUUAGAGUGAAGACCUCAUGGGGUAAAUACGAGUGGUCUUCUGCUUCUGAAUCCCCCUCAGAACAGUUAUCUUCCUCUUGAUUACGAUCCGAAAUGGGUGGAGGGGGGCUGCCUUUGCGCCCACCAUGGAGCGACGUCUGCAUGAAAUUUUAUUGCCACGCAAGGCUCGUCUCUUUUGCUCUACAUGUUCAGUUCCAUUGUGUACAAUAACUGACAUGCAUAGGAAUAAAACAUAGUGAGAUUAUGUAAGGAGUGCAUGCACAAAUCCAGAGUGAUGGUAGCAAACUGUGGAUAGACCCAAAACCAAUGAUAGCAGGCAGAUAAUAGCUUUAGUUAAAAAAUACAGAUAAUGGCUCCUUUAAUGUUUGUUUGCACCCAACAUGAAACUCAUAGUAGACACCCGAGAUUAACUAGAUAGUAGACAUAUAGUACUGAUUGCUGUCCCAAUAUGUACCCCACAACCAUUUAAAAACUCAAGUUUCAGCAUAAGUAUGGACCUGACUCGGAGUCUAAUAGGUGAACACGACGAUAAAGUAGCAUGUCAUCAUAUUAAGCGAUGCAUAACGUAAGCAGACACGGAAGAGUGCGACCUCUCUUGCGGACCCGUGUAGUCCUCAAGGUCAUCUGCUCAGUUGAUGAUGGUAAUGCAGUUGUCGUGGCUGCUGGCGGUGGGGAAGAAGAUCUGAGGCGGCGAAAGACAGUCUGGAGAGCGGAUCCCUGCUGUGGUGAACCCUUCCGUCGUUGGAGCAGCUGAGCUGGGGUGGAACACAGCACCGCAGGAGCAGGACAAACCACACAAGGUUUUCUUUGACACAUAUCUGUAACAGAAGUAAUUGUGUAAGGGCUUGUUUGAAUUUGAGGAUUCUAACAAUGCAGGGAUAGGAAAUAGACAGGAAUAGGAUAGGAAUGCACGUACGAAACAGAGAAUUUAAAAACACAUGAUUUCUGCCAAUCUGGGUGUUUGGUUCACAAGAAUUGGAAGAUCACAAGAUGCAAAGAAUCAUGGUGAGAUUAAGUCAAACCACAAGAAAAUGUACGGUUAUAAUGCUAUUAUGCUACUACUCCCUCCGUUCCAAAUUACUCGUCGCAGAAAUGGAUGUAUCUAGAACUGAAAUACAUCUAGAUACAUCCAUACCUGCGACAAGUAAUUCGGAACGGAGGGAGUAUCUCUUAGUCUUGUGCUUCAUGAAUAGGAAUUUGAAAAGGAGGACAAGUGGAAAUUAAAAUUCCUACGGUUUUUCUUUCAAGGAGACACUAAAGGAACAAAUCCUACAAUUUUCCUUUGCUCCAUUCCUUUGCACCAAAUUCAUGAAAAAUAGUACCAUAGGAAACUUUCCAAUUCCUAUGUUUUUCAUUCACUUUUCCUUUCAAGCACUGGCGAUUCUAGUAGGCAGGCUUGAGCAAGGAAAAUCCUACACUAAAAAAUGUUUUUGUGCUACUUCUGUUACUUUGGACCCAGGCCACUGCCGUACUAGCUCAGCUCCCAGGGCCAUCGACAAAUGCACAACUCAAACGCGCAGAGAUAAAUAAUGAUGGCGUUCAAGAGUGUCCAUCACGGAUAGCUAAGUUGCCUGGUACCUCACUGUUUGUCAUAUAGUAGGAUAAAAUAAUUGUAUUUCCCGUUACUCCGUGUGCUCAGUGGACAAUAUAUAUAACAUGUAGAGUAAAAAAGAGAUGCAACAAGUGUACAACCUCUUUGGCGAAGCCAUGUCGAUCUCAGCGUGAUUGCGUUGGCCGGUGAGGAUGCUCCGGCUGACUUGGCUGUCGGAGGAGGGGAAGAAGAUCUUAGGCGUCUGGAGAUGGAGCCUGAGGUACUGCUCCGCUGUGAUGGAGGGUUUCGUCGUUUGAGCAGCUCCGGUGAGUUGUACAACGCCGAGGCUGAAGCAGGAUAAGAGAGACAACGUUAACGUGAGUGGAAUUCUAAUAGCAUCUCCAAUAGAUGACGUAAAAUACAUAACCACAAAGUGCUAGAUGUAAAAUACAUCAGCCGCUCAUCUCUGAACUUAACUGUCGAAACUGAAUUUUGCUGUCGAAACUGAAUUUUGCUGUCGAAAUUGAACGCACUAGAGGUGAUGCUACACGUCAGUCGACUGACUUUUUCAUCUCUGGUCAGUCGAUUUUGCAGCUGUUGGAUAUGAAAUCAAGGGCCUGCAGUUCAUCUUCAACCUCCACCCCCCUGAGCCGCCAGCCACCACCGGCCAAAUAGCCGCCCCCCCCCGCCCGCGGCCGGCGGUGCGCCGCCUCGCCCGCCCCGAAAACACUCCCCACCGCCGGUCUGCCGCCGCCCCGGCCAUCUAUCUAGCCCNNNNNNNNNNNNNNNNNNNNNNNNNNNNNNNNNNNNNNNNNNNNNNNNNNNNNNNNNNNNNNNNNNNNNNNNNNNNNNNNNNNNNNNNNNNNNNNNNNNNNNNNNNNNNNNNNNNNNNNNNNNNNNNNNNNNNNNNNNNNNNNNNNNNNNNNNNNNNNNNNNNNNNNNNNNNNNNNNNNNNNNNNNNNNNNNNNNNNNNNNNNNNNNNNNNNNNNNNNNNNNNNNNNNNNNNNNNNNNNNNNNNNNNNNNNNNNNNNNNNNNNNNNNNNNNNNNNNNNNNNNNNNNNNNNNNNNNNNNNNNNNNNNNNNNNNNNNNNNNNNNNNNNNNNNNNNNNNNNNNNNNNNNNNNNNNNNNNNNNNNNNNNNNNNNNNNNNNNNNNNNNNNNNNNNNNNNNNNNNNNNNNNNNNNNNNNNNNNNNNNNNNNNNNNNNNNNNNNNNNNNNNNNNNNNNNNNNNNNNNNNNNNNNNNNNNNNCAUCGCCCCCAGCCUGAACCCUAAGAUAGAUAGUGGGGUACCUCUCCGGUGAGCCCCCCUCCCCGCUGCGGCUGGUUCUUCCUUAACUCCGGCGAGCCCCCCCUGAAAAUCGACUGACCCAAAAGUCGAUUCAGUCGACUGAAGUGUAGCUAAAUUGGAGCAGCAUCACAAGCAAGAGCAGCAGUGCGAGCAAGAGCAAGAGCAAUAGCAAGAGCAGACCAUGCAGGGGACCGAGAGCAAGAGCAGAGCAGCAGCGCGAGCGAGAGCUAAAGCAGCAGCAGCUCCUACUGAUGUGGACGUCGCCACCGAGGGAGCGACGCCGUGGAGGAAGUGGCCGGCGACGCUGCCGUGGAUGGAGCCGUGCCGUGUCGGCUCGGGACCGAGCGCCGAUAGCACCGUGAGAUCGAAUCAAGAAGAAAAUGCGGCGAUUAGUGUACAACCUCUUUGGUGGCGCCGAUUAGGCCGCAGCUUCAUCCGAGGAAACGGUGAUGAUGAUGCUCUUCCGGUGGUGCGGGUGAAGACGGCGGUGUGGUAAUGGAGGUGGCGCGAAAGACAAGGGGAACGUCGGGGCAGCUCCUUGGAGGUGGAGGACGGGGUGGCUUAACCGGCGGGACGACCAAAUCGAUGACGGAUCCUCAUCCGGUAUGGUGGAUGAGGGACGUCGAGUUGUUGCUGUGGACGACGUCGUCGGGGAAGAGGCUCUGGCUGGGUGGCGGACGGAGGAGGGUGUGGGGCUUCGCGGGUUUCCCGGCCUCGGUGUACGAAUGGGUGGGCGGAUGGGAUGGGAGUGGGGAACCACGGCUUAGGGACACGCUUGUCCGAAAUGUGGGGUAAGUUACGAAAGUACCCCCACCGAUUUGAGGCGGUUCUUUCGGUUCAGGGGUAUCACGGGCAUUUCGUGUGUCGGGAUUUCACAGGAGGUGGGAGUUUUCGCGCGCGUUGUAAUUUUGGAAUAGUAAGGCGCGGGUUGAGAUGGAGGGUGUUGUCGGAGCACAACGAGACAAAGAUAUAUCUUAAAUAUUUCGGGCUAACAAGGCGUGAGUUGAAAUUUCCGGACAAGCCUAACAUGUAUUGUACCAAAUCAAUUCGCACUACAAAUGUCACUCAAAACUUUGAAUUCAUGUUAUGUUCAAUUAAAAUAUUUCGCUACGUGUAUAAUGCAUGCAACCUACUACUCAAAUGAACGUUUUAGUGCAUUCCAAACGUAUAUACUACCGCUUCAAUAUGAACUAAAUUUGAAUUCGUUUCUCUAUUUGAAUAAGAUCUACAAUAAUGAUUGUUGUGAACAUUUGAAUUCGUUUCUCUAUUUUAAUAAAAUCUACAAUCAUCAUUAUUGUCAAGUUAAACCAUCGUUUGUGUAUUAUCUUCACAGCACACCACAUGAUUAGUCUCGAGUUACAUAUGAACUAUGUGUAUUAUAUGAACUCGAACUUGAUUUUUUGAAUCCACUUUAGGUUGAUUUCAAAUCACAGUACAUUUCAAGCUCUAGCUAGAUCUUCAUAAUCUAAACCAUGUCUCAUAUGUAUAAUGUGUUUAUCACAUUAUGUAUGGUGCCCCGCCCCCUACGCCUACAAGUAUCUAGAUGUGAGUUGCAAACACCACACAUUACCACAAAUUCAAAUAAAAUGUGAGAAUGUUCAAUAUAUAGUAUUGUUUAGAUUGUUCGAUAUUUAGUUGUAAGCUGCAAACGCCACACAUUAUCACAAAUUCAAAUAAAAUGUGAGAUUGUUCGAUGUAUAGUAUGGUUUAGAUUGUUCGACAUUUAGCUGUGAGUUGUAAACGCCAUGCAUUAUCACAUUAUGGUAUAACAUGUGCAAAACCACAACACGCGUAUCACCGCUAUAUUCAUGCAUGCAUAUGUUUAAAACUCUAUGAUUUCCUAUUCAAAUAUAUGAAUCCACUUUCAUAUCAAAUUAUGAUCUUUGUUAGUCUCUUACACCCACACAAUCCUCUAACCUUUGUAGCUACCACUAACUUUCUCUCGUGCAUGCACACGCCCUCCUCGCCCUCCCCCUCCCUCGGUAUUCUAUCCAUCGUGCACAUUCAUUUUUUUUCUUUAGGUCGUUCUCCCACAGUCUCCACAACUCCUUUCCAACACACACCGAUCGAUAAACCUCUCGAGCGAUGUCUGCCUACAACAUACACACGCACCUUCAAUCUCCUCCUUUAUGUGUCCUUGCCUUGUGUCUCUCAUAUGGUCCCACACACGUGUAAACUCUCGCCCCUCUUUUCAUCAAUCUCACAACCGCACACUCCCCCCUAUCUAGCUAGUAGCCGGGCCUCUCGCACCACCUCCUAGCUCCAUUCUCUCUGUCUAUCCGUCUCACCGGCCCUUAUUUGCUUCUAACAAAUGGACGUACACCGACCGAUCUCCCGCUAUACAUAUAGCUAGCUAGGUCCUUAUAACUCGGUUUUCCCCAUGCGUCGAUCGAUCUACCUCAUUAGUUAUGUCUCUCCCUUCCUCCGACAAACAACAAUUGAUCUACCGAUCUAGUUAGGUUUGCUUACCAAACACAUGGUUCCCCUUCAUCAUCCAUGGAUGCGUCCCGAUAGAUCUAUCACGCACAGGCACACACAGAAACACAUCCCCACUCUUAUUGAUAAUAUUGCAGUUCCACCCUCAGUUUGUCUAGUAGGCCUCUCCCACCAUCUUCGAGAAGCAACUCCAUCACCCAUCCAACACUCUACCCCUCUCCCUCCCUCUCUCCUCUCUCUCUCUCUCUCUGUCCCAUCCUAUUUCCCGUCCUUCAGUUAUGUAUGGAUGUCGACCGAUCUCCCUCAAGACAUAGCUGGGUCUCUCCUUCUCAACACAUAUACGAGUCGUUCUACCUCUAUAGUUAGGCAUCUGCCUACCCCUCCCCCCACCCCCUCCCACACACACACAUCGAUACAUCNNNNNNNNNNNNNNNNNNNNNNNNNNNNNNNNNNNNNNNNNNNNNNNNNNNNNNNNNNNNNNNNNNNNNNNNNNNNNNNNNNNNNNNNNNNNNNNNNNNNNNNNNNNNNNNNNNNNNNNNNNNNNNNNNNNNNNNNNNNNNNNNNNNNNNNNNNNNNNNNNNNNNNNNNNNNNNNNNNNNNNNNNNNNNNNNNNNNNNNNNNNNNNNNNNNNNNNNNNNNNNNNNNNNNNNNNNNNNNNNNNNNNNNGAUACAUCGAGCGCUCUAGUCAUGUCUCCCUGCCACACACAAACUUGACCUAUGCCCUCUGACGUUCCGGUAGGUCAGUCGCCCUAUAUCUUUGACUUGCACACACACACAAUUUCGAUGGCUCUCUUCAUCGAUUUCGAACCCACCCACUUGAUCCUCUCUUUGACUCUAUCGAUAUCUAUGACCCCUCCCUCUCUUCUCGUGGAUCGCCCGACCCUCUAUAUAUGAUAUGGAUAGGCCUCCAUUUCACACACAUUGCAUGCAAAAUUUUGUUUGAGAUGUCAUCGACACAUAUUCCCACAAAUACAUUCACGAAAUCAACCCCCCCAAAACAAAAAACACUCACGAACGCACAAGCCAUUUUUCUAGGUUUAUAUCUCUCUCAAACACACCUACUUAGGUGGGGACGUGCACGAAGAGAAGAGGUGCACGCACGUCGCACGUACUCCCGUCUCUUUCCCAACCACACCUGCGUGGGUACACGGUGGAGCUCAUUUCUGUACGAAAAGGAAGCCCACGUGGUAAUUUGACACGUGUACUGGUUGUCCACUUGAUGGAGGGAGGAUCGUCUACCACGGGUGAACAAACAAAUUUCGACUUGACGCGUUAUGUUAAAAAAGAGGCAAACCAUGUGGGGCCUACCUUAGAGGCAAGGCUCUAUACACUGGAGUACUUUUGAUGUGUCCCAUCAACUCGCAGAACGAGGAGAAGCUUGCUUAGUACGCCGUCUCCCCCGCCCGCGGGCGCGGUGGCUCGCAGGAUGAGGUGAAGCUUGCUUACUAGUAGUAGUAUUGUACGCCUUACGCCCGUUCCCUCGCCCACGCGCGCGGUGGCUCGCAGGACGAGGAGAAAAUUUUACUACUCCCUCCGUUUACUCCUCAUCCCUACUACCUUGGUUAGAGAGAUUAUCAUAUCGUUUGGAAUAUAUAUGUCCUUUAGUAGAUUUCAAUAUGAACUACUAGUACAUACUCCAAACACUGAUGUAUAUAGACGUAUUUUAGAGUGUAGAUUCACUCAUUUUUCUCCGUAUGUAGUCCAUAUUGAGGCCUUGUUUGGUUCAUAAGUCCUAGGACUUUUUCUAGUCCCAACUAAAAAGUCCCUACUCCUUAAAAAGUCCCUCCCUGUUUGUUUUCAGGGACUAAAAAGUCCCUAGUCCCUCCCUAGAGGUUAUUGAAUGACCAUGUUACCCCCAGUAUACAGAAAAACAACAACCAAACAACACCAUGGGGCGGCGGGGCAAUGGGUGCAGGGAGGGGCAUUGUUGGAAAAGUCCCAAAAAAGACUCUCCUUGAGAGUAUUCUUCAUUAAGUCCCAAAAAGCAAGUUUUAAUCCCUAGUAGUCCCUUCUGUUUAGUUAAAAAGUCUCUAAGAGGGACUUUUUCUAGUCCCUACAAUAAAAAGUCGCUGGAAACAAACGCCCCUUGCAUAAAGUUGAGACACUUAUUUUGGAACGGAGGGAGUACAUAUUUGCUAUGAUCUUUUUGAGGAACCGAUAUUUGCUAUGAUCUGUCAAUCAUUGAGAUGCAAUAGAAUGCAUGUUAGUCUCCUUUGUAUUUGAUGAAAUGUUGCAACAGGCAACCUUGGACGCAAGAUACAUGUAACAGAAGCUGGAAGCUUCAUAGCAUUGUACUAUCUCGCUGAUAAAUUACAGUACGUACUAUACUAGUACUUACUCCGUUCCUAAAUAUAAGUCUUUGUAGAGAUUUCACCAUGAACCACAUACGGAUGUAUAUAGAUACAUUUUAAGUGUAGAUUCAUUCAUUUUGUUCCGUAUGUAGUCCACCUAGUGGAAUCUCUACAAAGACUUAUAUUUAGGAACAGAGGGAGUACUAUGUAAAGAGUUAGGUGUCGCACGGUGUCCAGAAAAUAUGGUGAUAGUGUGAGGUGGGCCAUGUAAUCGCUGAGCCUGCGUGUUUUCACUGCUCUUGCACUCCUCCGCCGUAAGAAUGGAGAAAAUUUUAAGCAAGUAGUACAUCCUUUCGCCGUAAGCGUGGGACAUCCAGCAGUCCUACCACCUCAGUAAUAAUGACCAAUGAGCCGUCAAAUCACAUAGACCCAGCAGUAAGUUGGACGGACGAAGCAACCAUCACUCUUGAAUCCGCUUCUCCCUUCAACGCAGGCGCCAGUGAAAGGUCGCAGCCGCUCUGCCCGGGCAUGAAUGCGGCACCGAUUCUUUGGAGCGGCGCUAACCGUUUCGGGCGAGAAGCGCGCGCGGGCGAUGGAGGGGCUUUGGGUGGGCCAGGCUGGUCAGGAGCGAGCGUGGCAGCUGUCCGCCUGUCCCUAUCGGACGUCCGGAAACGAGAGGAUGCACCGACUCUCGCGGCUAAAAUUGUACACUACACACUGAUGUCUACUACGCAACCUUCUUCUUGUAGACGUUGUUGGGCCUCCAAGUGCAGAGGUUUGUAGGACAGUAGCAAAUUUCCCUCAAGUGGAUGACCUAAGGUUUAUCAAUCCGUGGGAGGCGUAGGAUGAAGAUGGUCUCUCUCAAACAACCCUGCAACCAAAUAACAAAGAGUCUCUUGUGUCCCCAACACACCCAAUACAAUGGUAAAUUGUAUAGGUGCACUAGUUCGGCGAAGAGAUGGUGAUACAAGUGCAAUAUGGAUGGUAGAUCUAGGUUUUUGUAAUCUGAAAAUAUAAAAACAGCAAGGUAACAAGUGGUAAAAGUGGGCACAAACAGUAUUGCAAUGCUAGGAAACAAGGCCUAGGGUUUAUACUUUCACUAGUUCAAGUUCUCUCAACAAUAAUAACAUAAUUGGAUCAUAUAACUAUCCCUCAACAUGCAACAAAGAGUCACUCCAAAGUCACUAAUAGCGGAGAACAAACAAAGAGAUUAUGGUAGGGUACGAAACCACCUCAAAAUUAUUCUUUCCAAUCAAUCCGUUGGGCUAUUCCUAUAAGUGUCACAAACAACCCUAGAGUUCGUACUAGAAUAACACCUUAAGACACAAAUCAACCAAAACCCUACUGUCACCUAGAUACUCCAAUGUCACCUCAAGUAUCCGUGGGUAUGAUUAUACGAUAUGCAUCACACAAUCUCAGAUUCAUCUAUUCAACCAACACAUAGAACGUCAAAGAGUGCCCCAAAGUUUCUACCAGAGAGUCAAGACGAAAACGUGUGCCAACCCCUAUGCAUAGGUUCAUGGGCGGAACCCGCAAGUUGAUCACCAAAACAUACAUCAAGUGAGUCACGUGAUAUCCCAUUGUCACCACAGAUACGCACGGCAAGACAUACAUCAAGUGUUCUCAAAUCAUUAAAGACUCAAUCCGAUAAGAUAACUUCAAAGGGAAAACUCAAUCCAUUACAAGAGAGUAGAGGGGGAGAAGAAACAUAAGAUCCAACUAUAAUAGCAAAGCUCGCGAUACAUCAAGAUCGUAUCACCUCAAGAACACGAGAGAGAGAGAUCAAACGCAUAGCUACUGGUACAUACCCUCAGCCCCGAGGGUGAACUACUCCCUCCUCGUCAUGGAGAGCGCCGGGAUGAUGAAGAUGGCCACCGGUGAAGGUUCCCCCCUCCGGCAGGGUGCCGGAACAGGGUCCCGAUUGGUUUUUGGUGGCUACAGAGGCUUGCGGCGGCGGAACUCCCGAUCUAUUCUGUUCCCCGAUCGUUUUAGGGUAUAUGGAUAUAUAUAGGCGGAAGAAAUACGCCAGGGGAGCCACAAGGGGCCCACGAGGGUGGAGGGCGCGCCCAGGGGGGUGGGCGCCCCCCCUGCCUCGUGCCUCCCUCGUUUCUUUCCUGACGUGCACUCCAAGUCUACCGGGUUGCUUUCUUUCCAAAAAUAACUUCUCCAGAAGGUUUCAUUCCGUUUCGACUCCGUUUGAUAUUCCUUUUCUUCGAAACACUGAAACAAGGGAAAAAACAGGAACUGGCACUGGGCUCUGGGUCAAUAGGUUAGUCCCAAAAUAAUAUAAAAGUGCAUAGUAAAGCCCACAAAACAUCCAAGAUGGAUAAUAUAAUAGCAUGAAUACUUCAUAAAUUAUAGAUACGUUGGAGAUGUAUCAGUAUCCCCAAGCUUAAUUCCUGCUCGUCCUCGAGUAGGUAAAUGAUAAAAGAAAGAAUUUAUGAAGUGUGAAUGCUAGCAGGUGCAUAAGUUUGAUCAAUGAUAAUUUCAAUAACCUUUUCUAGCAUCAUUAUAUGUCAUAACAGUAGCUCAACUCAUAGACCUUUUCAUGAUCAAGUAACAAACUAUUCACGUGUUAAAGUAUAGAUCAUAAACUUUCUUGAAAACUAACAAACAGUUCUCAGUCAUCAAACAAUUGCAAUUCAUCUUAUUUUCGAGAAGAGUCCAUGUCAGAGCUUUGAUUUAGCAAACUCCACAUAUUCAACUAUCAUAUAGUCUUCCAUGAUUGCUACCACUCAAAGCAUAUUUUUAGAACAAAUAGCAUCCAUCGAACAUAGAGAAAGAUAGGGGCUUAUUGUUUCGCCUCCAAACCUUUUACCUCAAGGGUAAUGUCAACAGUAAUAAUUCAUGCUCAAAUAUAUUUGAAUGGCCAUAUAUGCCUAGAUCUUUCCAUCACAUGAUGCUUGCCAACUAAAGAGUAGGUUGGAAUGAGAAGGAGUACUACAGACUCUUGCAUAAAAGUAAAAGAUAGGCCCUUCACAGAGGGAAGCAGGGAUUUGCAGAGGUGCCAGAGCUCGAAGCAAAAACAGAGAAGAAAAUAAUUUUCAGAGGUAUGCUUUCAUUGUCAACAUAACGACCAAGAGUUCCCAAUAUCUUCCAUACUACAUACAUUAUAGGCGGUUCCCAAACAGAAAGGUAAAGAUUUUAACUCCCCGUCCACCAACAAUCAUCAAUCCAUGGCUUGCCCGAAACAACGGGUGCCUCCAACUAACAUCAAACCUGGGGGAGUUUUGUUUGCAAUUAUUUUUGAUUUGAUUUCGAUCUUUUGAUCAUGGGACUGGGCAUCCCAGUUACCAGCCAUUUUCUCGUGAAUGAUGAGCGGAGUCCACUCAUCGUGAGAAUAACCCACCUAGCAUGGAAGAUACUGCUAGCCCGUAGUCGCUACAUGAGCGAUUCGGGCAUACAAAAUAGAUUAUUAUUUGAAGGUUUAGAGUUUGGCACAUGCAAAUUUACUUGGAACGGCAGGUAAAUACCACAUAUAGGUAGAUAUGGUGGACACUCAUGGAAGAAACUUGGUUCAAGGAUUUUGGAUGCACAAGCAGUAUUCCCGCUUAGUACAGAUAUUUUGGCUAGCAAAGGAUUCUAAAUAGCAAGCACCACAUGUUAGAGGAUCCAAAACAAUAUAACUUAUACAAAUAUACCCAAGCAUAACUCAUUACGUUGUCUUCCUUGUCCAACUUCAACUAAUUUGCUCAGGUUUGAAAAUAAUUAAAGGGGAUCACAAUCAUAGAAGAUGUCCAAGAUAGUAUAUUUAUAUGUGAAAUCUCUCUUCCUUCAAUAUUCUUUCAUGAAUUGUUCAAGUGACCAAUACAAUGUUUGCUAACCUUCAAUAAAUUUACCACCUCUACUUCUUAUAUGUGAAGGCAUUACUCCCCAUGGGAAAGACAUAUGAAACAUAUAUAAUUUCAGAUAUAUGACAUUCAAAUCAUUCAACCAUUUACUCAUAGGAUAUAAGUGAAGCACACGAGUAAAUGACAAACUACUCCAAAAAGAUAUAAGUGAAGAUCAAUGAGUAGUUAAAGAAUUAUGUAGCUAUGUGAAGACUCUCUCUCAUUUAAGAACUUCAGAUCUUGGUAUUUUAUUUAAACAGCAAGCAAAGCUAAAGAAAAUAAAAUGACGCUCCAAGCAAAACACAUAUCAUGUGGUGAAUAAAAAUAUAGCUCCAAGUAAAGUUACCGAUGAACGAAGACGAAAGAGGGGAUGCCAUCCGGGGCAUCCCCAAGCUUAGGCUCUUGGUUGUCCUUGAAUAUUACCUUGGGGUGCCUUGGGCAUCCCCAAGCUUAGGCUCUUGCCACUCCUUAUUCCAUAGUCCAUCGAAUCUUUACCCAGAACUUGAAAACUUCACAACACAAAACUUAACAGAAAACUCGUGAGCUCCGUUAGCGAAAGAAAACAAAACACCACUUCAUGGUACUGUAAUGAACUCAUUAUUUAUUUGUAUUUGUGUUAAACCUACUGUAUUCUAACUUCUCUAUGGUUUAUAAACUAUUUUACUAGCCAUAGAUUCAUCGAAAUAAGCAAACAACACACAAAAAACAGAAUCUGUCAAAAACAGAACAGUCUGUAGUAAUCUGUAACUAACGCAAACUUCUGGAACUCAGAAAAAUCCACCAAAAUAGGACGACCUAGAUAAUUUUUUAUUGAUCUACUGCAAUUGGAAUCAGUAUUUUAUCACGUUCUGGUGAUUUUUAAUAAUUGUUUUCGUGAACAGAAAGUUUCUGGAAUUUUCAGCAAGAUCAAAUAACUAUCAUCCAAGAAGAUCCUAUAGGUCUUACUUGGCACAAACACUAAUUAAAACAUAAAACCACAUCUAACCAGAGGCUAGAUCAAAUAUUUAUUACUAAAUAGAACCAAAAAGAAAGAACAAAAAUAAAAAUUGGGUUGCCUCCCAACAAGCGCUAACGUUUAACGCCCCUAGCUAGGCAUGAUGAUUUCAAUGAUGCUCGCAUAAAAGAUAAGAAUUGAAACAUAAAGAGAGCAUCAUGAAGAAUAUGACUAGCACAUUUAAGUCUAACCCACUUCCUAUGCAUAGGGAUUUUGUGAGCAAACAACUUAUGGGAACAAUAAUCAACUAGCAUAGGAAGGCAAAACAAGCAUAACUUUAAAACUUUAAGCACAUAGAGAGGAAAUUUGAUAUUAUUGCAAUUCCUACAAUCAUAUAUUCCUCCCUCAUAAUAAUUUUCAGUAGCAUCAUGAAUAAAUUUAACAAUAUAACCAUCACAUAAAGCAUUCUUUUCAUGAUCUACAAGCAUAGAAUUUUUACUACUCUUCACAUAAGCAAAUUUAUUCUCCUUCGGAAUAGUGGGAGCAAACUCAACAAAAUAACUAUCAUACGAUUCAAAAUUAAGAUCAAGAUGACAAGUUUCAUGGUUAUCAUUAUUAUUUAAAGCAUACGUGUCAUCACAAUAAUCAUCAUAGAUAGGAGGCAUGCUUUCAUCAUAGUAAAUUUGCUCAUCAAAGCUUGGGGGACAAAAAAUAUCACCUUCAUUAAACAUAGCAUCCCCAAGCUUGGGACCAACAUUAAUUUCAGCAAAUAUAUUCUCAAAUAUGUCAUUCUCAUCAAACAUAGCUUCUCCAAGCUUGGGCCUUUUCAUAUCAUAAGCAUAAUCACUCUCAUCAUUAAUAGUAUGGAUAGCACCAAUAGUAUAGCAAUUAUCAUAUUCUUCCAAGCAAGUGCCAAAAAGAUUCUCAAGAUCAUAAGAAGUAUCAUUAUCUUCCCAAUCAUAAUCAUCAGAACAAGCAAUAGGCAUAACGAGAUCAUCAUCAAGUGCAUCAUCUUCCACAAUUAUUUUUGAUUCAUUUCCAUGAGGCACUAUAAUAAUAGGAGCAACAUUAUUUGGGAGAUAUAUCUUUUUACCUCUCUUCCUUUUUCUUUUCUUCUUCUUCACCUCAUGUGUGGGUUCAAUCCUCUUUUUGGAGCUCCUUAUUAAUGAGAUUGGUUGAAUAGAAGGCUCCUCCUCAUUACCUGAUUCAUCAUAAGAAAUAAUAGGAGAAUAUUGGGAAGUCUCUUCCCUUUCAUUAGUGUUCUCUUCAUCUUCUAUUUGCUUUCUUUUCUUUAUGUAAUUGGCAAUAUAAGGAUUUUAAAUGCAAUUCACCGCACAAUACAUACAAAUCUUCUCUAGAUCAAAAUCAAGAAAUCUAUCAAGAUUAAACUUUGGAAUACCCUCAGUUAUACGUUUCAUUUCCUCAUACCCCAAAAGAAUACUAAGCUCUUUAUGAUGCUCAAGGGUAAUCCAAUUAUCACAAAUUUUUGGACACGAUUCGGUCAUGAAACAAUUUGCAUUGGAGAUUUAAAUGACCAUGUUCAUUGCAAAGUUCACAAGGAUCGCGAAAAAUAUUGAAUUUUUCAGCACAAACAUCAAGACUUUCUUGCAACAAUUUAGUUUCUAAAUGCUUGUGCCUCUUGCAAUAUCUAUCUUCCCUAUUUGGUGUGUACUUGCAAACCCAAUACACUCCACAAAAAUCAACAUGCUUAUAAGAGAUAUUUUCAUCAUGACUAGUGCAAUUAUCAUUAGUACCAUGGAUAUUCAAGGAAUUCAUACUAACAACAUUGCAAUCAUGCUCAUCAUUCAAAGAUUUAGUGCCAAACAUUUUAAUGCAUUCUUCUUCUAACACUUUGGCACAAUUUUCUUUUCCAUCAUACUCACGAAAGAUAUUAAAAAGAUGAAGCGUAUGAGGCAAACUCAAUUCCAUUUUUUUGUAGUUUUCUUUUAUAAACUAAACUAGUGAUAAAACAAUAAACAAAAAGAUUCGAUUGCAAGAUCUCAAGAUAUACCUUCAAGCACUCACUUCCCCGACAACGGCACCAGAAACUGCUUGAUGUCUACUACGCAACCUUCUUCUUGUAGACGUUGUUGGGCCUCCAAGUGCAGAGGUUUGUAGGACAGUAGCAAAUUUCCCUCAAGUGGAUGACCUAAGGUUUAUCAAUCCGUGGGAGGCGUAGGAUGAAGAUGGUCUCUCUCAAACAACCCUGCAACCAAAUAACAAAGAGUCUCUUGUGUCCCCAACACACCCAAUACAAUGGUAAAUUGUAUAGGUGCACUAGUUCGGCGAAGAGAUGGUGAUACAAGUGCAAUAUGGAUGGUAGAUAUAGGUUUUUGUAAUCUGAAAAUAUAAAAAUAGCAAGGUAACAAGUGGUAAAAUUGAGCACAAACGGUAUUGCAAUGCUAGGAAACAAGGCCUAGGGUUCAUACUUUCACUAGUGCAAGUUCUCUCAACAAUAAUAACAUAAUUGGAUCAUAUAACUAUCCCUCAACAUGCAACAAAGAGUCACUCCAAAGUCACUAAUAGCGGAGAACAAACGAAGAGAUUAUGGUAGGGUACGAAACCACCUCAAAGUUAUUCUUUCCAAUCAAUCCGUUGGGCUAUUCCUAUAAGUGUCACAAACAACCCUAGAGUUUGUACUAGAAUAACACCUUAAGACACAAAUCAAUCAAAACCCUAAUGUCACAUAGAUACUCCAAUGUCACCUCAAGUAUCCGUGGGUAUGAUUAUACGAUAUGCAUCACACAAUCUCAGAUUCAUCUAUUCAACCAACACAUAUAACGUCAAAGAGUGCCCCAAAGUUUCUGCCGGAGAGUCAAGACGAAAACGUGUGCCAACCCCUAUGCAUAGGUUCAUGGGCGGAACCCGCAAGUUGAUCACCAAAACAUACAUCAAGUGAGUCACGUGAUAUCCCAUUGUCACCACAGAUACGCACGGCAAGACAUACAUCAAGUGUUCUCAAAUCAUUAAAGACUCAAUCCGAUAAGAUAACUUCAAAGGGAAAACUCAAUCCAUUACAAGAGAGUAGAGGGGGAGAAGAAACAUAAGAUCCAACUAUAAUAGCAAAGCUCGCGAUACAUCAAGAUCGUAUCACCUCAAGAACACGAGAGAGAGAGAGAGAGAGAUCAAACACAUAGCUACUGGUACAUACCCUCAGCCCCGAGGGUGAACUACUCCCUCCUCGUCAUGGAGAGCGCCGGGAUGAUGAAGAUGGCCACCGGUGAAGGUUCCCCCCUCCGGGAGGGUGCCGGAACAGGGUCCCGAUUGGUUUUUGGUGGCUACAGAGGCUCGCGGCGGCGGAACUCCUGAUCUAUUCUGUUCCCCGAUCGUUUUAGGGUAUAUGGAUAUAUAUAGGCGGAAGAAAAACGUCAGGGGAGCCACGAGGGGCCCACGAGGGUGGAGGGCGCGCCCAGGGGGUGGGCGCCCCCCUGCCUCGUGCCUCCCUCGUUUCUUUCCUGACGUGCACUCCAAGUCUAUCGGGUUGCUUUCUUUCCAAAAAUAACUUCUCCAGAAGGUUUCAUUCUGUUUCGACUCCGUUUGAUAUUCCUUUUCUUCGAAACACUGAAACAAGGGGAAAAAACAGGAACUGGCACUGGGCUCUGGGUCAAUAGGUUAGUCCCAAAAAUAAUAUAAAAGUGCAUAGUAAAGCCCACAAAACAUCCAAGAUGGAUAAUAUAAUAGCAUGAAUACUUCAUAAAUUAUUGAUACGUUGGAGACGUAUCACACACCAUCUCUCUGUAGGAGUAGGUCGAUCUAUAGCUCUCUCUAACACACACAUGCUGUUAAACACACACACAUACGCACACGCACACAUAGAUUCAUAGAAUAGGAAAAUCGUGCGAGUGCGAAGCUACAGGAAGUGAGAUACAAAUGGAGUACGUACAAGAAGAGAAGAGGUGACGAAUAUUCCAUCAAACAUGGACUGAGGAGUAGUACUCCCUCCGUCUAGGUGUUAAGUCAUCUUACGGAAAUCAGAUAUUCCCAAAAUGUUUAGGCAUCGUCCAUUAACUUCGCAUCUCAAUCCCCUCCUGGCCUCGUUGCUAGCGAGCGUUGUUACUUAGGGGGCAUUUGGAUCCUUAGCAAGAAUAGCUUAUAGCAUAGCCGGGCAAGGUUAGGCGUUUGGAACUGUUAAAAUAUGUUAGCUUUUGUGGGCCAGCUAGCUUGGGUGGGCUAGAAAAACCUUGCUAGCUCAGGAGAGCCAGAUCGGCUCGCUUUCGAUGGCAAACUUCGCGUAGUAGUAACAUAGACUAGUAACAUAUGCAUGUUACUAGUCCAAGUUACUCACCACUAUGACCAACCUCAGCAAUGUAACCAAAUGCUCCUUACUCUGCCUUGUUAUCUCCCCCGGGAACCCAAUGCAUGGAGUGCAACUACGCGUUGAUCAGUCAAGAAAUCAAAGUCGGCUUGCAUGCGAGUUAAUACGUGGCCCUGCAUGGUAGCUAAAACGACAUCUCUUAGUUGUUUGGAUUAAUUGUUGCGUUUAGAGACAGAAAUCAGGGCUUUGAUUGGAGGAAUGUGAUGUCUACUACGCAACCUUCUUCUUGUAGACGUUGUUGGGCCUCCAAGUGCAGAGGUUUGUAGGACAGUAGCAAAUUUCUCUCAAGUGGAUGACCUAAGGUUUAUCAAUCCAUGGGAGGCGUAGGUUGAAGACGGUCUCUCUCAAGCAACCCUGCAACCAAAUAACAAAGAGUCUCUUGUGUCCCCAACACACCCAAUACAAUGGUAAAAUGUAUAGGUGCACUAGUUCGGCGAAGAGAUGGUGAUACAAGUGCAAUAUGGAUGGUAGAUAUAGGUUUUUGCAAUCUGAAAUUAUAAAAACAGCAAGGUAACUAAUGAUAAAAGUGAGCGUAAACGGUAUUGCAAUGUGUUGAAACAAGGCCUAGGGCUCAUACUUUCACUAGUUCAAGUUCUCUCAACAAUAAUAACAUAAUUGGAUCAUAUAACUAUCCCUCAAGAUGCAACACAGAGUCACUAAUAGCGGAGAACAAAUGAAGAGAUUAUGGUAGGGUACGAAACCACCUCAAAGUUAUCCUUUCUGAUCGAUCUAUUCAAGAGUCUGUAGUAAAAUAACAUGAAGCUAUUCUUUCCGUUCGAUCUAUCAUAGAGUUCGUACUAGAAUAACACCUUAAGAUACAAAUCAACCAAAACCCUAAUGUCACCUAGAUACUCCAAUGUCACCUCAAGUAUCCAUGGGUAUGAUUAUACGAUAUGCAUCACACAACCUCAGAUUCAUCUAUUCAAACCAACACAAAGUACUUCAAAGAGUGCCCCAAAGUUUCUACCGGAGAGUCAAGACGGAAACGUGUGCCAACCCCUAUGCAUAAGUUCACGAGGUCAUGGAACCCGCAAGUUGAUCACCAAAACAUACAUCAAGUACAUCACAUGAUAUCCCAUUGUCACCACAGAUAAGCACAUGCAAGACAUACAUCAAGUGUUCUCAAAUCCUUAAAGACUCAAUCCGAUAAGAUAACUUCAAAGGGAAAACUCAAUCCAUUACAAGAGAGUAGAGGGGGAGAAACAUCAUAAGAUCCAACUAUAAUAGAAAAGCUCGCGAUACAUCAAGAUCGUACCACCUCAAGAACACGAGAGAGAGAGAGAGAUCAAACACAUAGCUACUGGUACAUACCCUCAGCCCCGAGGGUGAACUACUCCCUCCUUGUCAUGGAGAGCGCCGGGAUGAUGAAGAUGGCCACCGGUGAGGGAUUCCCCCUCUGGCAGGGUGCCGGAACAGGGUCCCGAUUGGUUUUUGGUGGCUACAGAGGCUUGCGGCAGCGUAACUCCCGAUCUAUUCUGCUCCCUGGAGUUUUUAGGGUAUAUGGACAUAUAUUGGCGAAAGAAGUCGGUCAGGGGAGCCACGAGGGGCCCACGAGGGUGGGGGCGUGCCCAGGGGGGCAAGCGCGCCUUCCUGCCUCGUGGCCACCUCGUUGCUUCCCUGACGUACACUCCAAGUCUCCUGGAUUGCUUCCGUUCCAAAAAUAACUCUCCCGAAGGUUUCACUCCGUUUGGACUCCGUUUGAUAUUCCUUUUUUGCGAAACACUGAAAUAGGCAAAAAACAGAAACUGGCACUGGGCUCUAAGUUAAUAGGUUAGUCCCAAAAAUAAUAUAAAAGUGUAUAAUAAAUCCCAUAAACAUCCAAAACAGAUAAUAUAAUAUCAUGGAACAAUAAAAAAUUAUAGAUAUGUUGGAGACGUAUCAAGCAUCCCCAAGCUUAAUUCUUGCUCGUCCUCGAGUAGGUAAAUGAUAAAAACAGAAUUUUUGAUGUGGAAUGCUACCUAACAUAUUUAUCAAUAUAAUCUUCUUUAUUGUGACAAGAAUAUUCAGAUCCAUAAGAUUCAAAACAAAAGUUUAAUAUUGACAUGAAAACAAUAAUACUUCAAGCAUACUAACAAAGCAAUCGUGUCUUCUCAAAAUAACAUGGCCAAAGCAAGCUAUCCCUACAAAAUCAUAUAGUCUGGCUAUGCUCUAUCUUCAUCACACAAAAUAUUUAAAUCAUGCACAACCCCGAUGACAAGCCAAGCAAUUGUUUCAUACUUUUGAUGUUCUCAAACUUUUUCAAUCUUCACGCAAUACAUGAGCAUGAGCCAUGGACAUAACACUAUAGGUGGAAUAGAAUGGUAGUUGUGGAGAAGACAAAGAGGAGAAGAUAGUCUCACAUCAACUAGGCGUAUCAAUGGGCCAUGGAGAUGCCAAUCAAUAGAUAUCAAUGUGAGUGAGUAGGGAUUGCCAUGCAACGGAUGCACUAGAGCUAUAAGUGUAUGAAAGCUCAACAAAAGAAACUAAGUGGGUGUGCAUCCAACUCGCUUGCUCACGAAGACCUAGGGCAUUUUGAGGAAGCCCAUCAUUGGAAUAUACAAGCCAAGUUCUAUAAUGUAAAAUUCCCACUAGUAUAUGAAAGUGACAACAUAGGAGACUCUCUAUCAUAAAGAUCAUGGUGCUACUUUGAAGCACAAGUGUGGUAAAAGGAUAGUAGCAUUGUCCCUUCUCUCUUUUUCUCUCAUUUUUUAUUUUUUUAUUUGGGCCUUUUUUAUGGCCUCUUUUUUUAGUUCGGAGUCUCAUCCUGACUUGUGGGGGAAUCAUAGUAUCCAUCAUCCUUUCCUCACUGGGACAAUGCUCUAAUAAUGAUGAUCAUCACACUUUUAUUUACUUACAACUCAAGGAUUACAACUCAAUACUUAGAACAAAAAUAUGACUAUAUGAAUGCCUCUGGCGGUAUACGGGGAUGUGCAAUGAAUCAAGAGUGACAUGUAUGAAAAAAUUAUGAACGGUGGCUUUGCCACAAAUACGAUGUCAACUACAUGAUCAUGCAAAGCAAUAUGACAAUGAUGAAGCUUGUCAUAAUAAACGAAACGGUGGUAAGUUGCAUGGCAAUAUAUCUCGGAAUGGCUAUGGAAAUGCCAUGAUAGGUAGGUAUGGUGGUUGUUUUGAGGAAGGUAUAUGGUGGUUGUAUGAUAUCGGCGAAAGGUGCGCGGUAUUAGAGAGGCUAGCAAUGGUGGAAGGAUGAGAGUGCGUAUAAUCCAUGGACUCAACAUUAGUCAUAAAGAACUCACAUACUUAUUGCAAAAAUCUAUUAGUUAUCGAAACGAAGUACUACGCGCAUGCUCCUAGGGGGAUAGAUUGGUAGGAAAAGACCAUCGCUCGUCCCCGACCGCCACUCAUAAGGAAGACAAUCAAUAAAUAAAUCAUGCUCCGACUUCAUCACAUAACGGUUCACCAUACGUGCAUGCUACGGGAAUCACAAACUUUAGAACAAGUAUCUCUCAAAUUAACAACUACUCCACUAGCAUGACUCUAAUAUCACCAUCUUCAUAUCUCAAAACAAUCAUAAGGAAUCAAACUUCUCAUAGUAUUCAAUGCACUUUAUAUGAAAGUUUUUAUUAUAUCCCUCUUGGAUGCCCAUCAUAUUAGGACUAAAUUCAUAACCAAAGCAAAUUACCAUGCUGUUCUAAAGACUCUCAAAAUAAUAUAAGUGAAGCAUGAGAGUUCAUAUAUUUCUUCAAAAUAAAGCCACCGCCGUGCUCUAAAAGGAUAUAAGUGAAGCAUUAGAGCAACCGACAAACUACUCCGAAAGAUAUAAGUGAAGAUCAAUGAGUAGUUGAAUAAUUAUGUAACUAUGUGAAGACUCUCUAACAUUUAAGAAUUUCAGAUCUUGGUAUUGUAUCCAAACAGCAAGGAAAACAAAAUAAAACAAAAUGACGCUCCAAGCAAAACACAUAUCAUGUGGUGAAUAAAAAUAUAGCUCCAAGUAAAGUUACCGAUGAACAAAGACGAAAGAGGGGAUGCCAUCCGGGGCAUCCCCAAGCUUAGGCUCUUGGUUGUCCUUGAAUAUUACCUUGGGGUGCCUUGGGAAUCCCCAAGCUUAGGCUCUUUGCCACUCCUUAUUCCAUAGCCCAUCGAAUCUUUACCCAAAACUUGAAAACUUCACAACACAAAACUUAACAAAAAACUCGUAAGCUCCGUUAGUAUAAGAAAAUAAAGCCAACACUUAGGUACUGUUGUGAACUCAUUAUAAAUUCAUAUUGGUUCAAUAUAUACUGUAUUCCAACUUCUCUAUGCCUCAUACCCUCCGAUACUACUCAUAGAUUCAUCAAAAUAAGCAAACAACACAUAGAAAACAGAAUCUGUCAAAAACAGAACAGUCUGUAGUAAUAUGUAUCAUUCGAAUACUUCUGUAACUCCAAAAAUUAUGAAAUAAAUUUGUGGACCUGAGUAAUUUGUCUAGUAAUCAUCUGCAAAAAGAAUCAACUAAAUAUCACUUUCCAGUAAAACGUUGUAGCUAAUCUCGUGAGCGCUAAAGUUUCUGUUUUUUACAGCAUGAUCAUAAAGACUUCACCCAAGUCUUCCCAAAGGUUCUACUUGGCACAAACACUAAUUAACACAUAAAACCACAUAUAACCAGAGGCUAGAUAUAUUAUUUAUUACUAAACAGAAGCAAAAGGCAAAUAACUAAAAUAAAAUUGGGUUGCCUCCCAACAAGCGCUAUCGUUUAACGCCCCUAGCUAGGCAUGAUGAUUUCAAUGAUGCUCGCGUAAAACAUAAGAAUUGAAACAUAAAGAGAGCAUCAUGAAGAAUAUGACUAGCACAUUUAAGUCUAACCCACUUCCUAUGCAUAGGGAUUUUGUGAGCAAAUAACUUAUGGGAACAAUAAUCAACUAGCAUAGGAAGGCAAAACAAGCAUAACUUCAAAACUUUAAGCACAUAGAGAGGAAACUUGAUAUUAUUGCAAUUCCUACAAGCAUAUAUUCCUCCAUCAUAAUAAUUUUCAGUAGCAUCAUGAAUUAAUUCAACAAUAUAACCAGCACCUAAAUCAUUCUUUUCAUGAUCUACAAGCAUAGAAAUUUUAUCACUCUCCGCAUAAGAAAAAUUCUUCUCAUUCGGAAUAGUGGGAGUAUCAUAAGAAACUCGAAUACUAUAAAUUGUUUGCACAUUAAAAGAGUAAUGUUCAGAAAAAGGGUAAUCAUAAUCAUGACAAUUUUUAUAAAUAUAAUCAUCACUACUAUUUAUGGCAUAAGUGUCAUCACAAGAAUCAUCAUAAAUAGGAGGCAUGCUAUCAUCAUAAUAAAUUUGCUCAUCAAAACUUGGGAGACUAAAAAUAUCAUCUUCAUUAAACGUAGCAUCCCCAAGCUUGGGACAAACAUUAAUUGCAGAAAAUAUAUUCUCAAAAACAUCAUCUUCAUCAAACAUAGCAUCCCCAAGCUUUGGCCUUUUCAUAUCAUAAGAAAAAUCACUCUCAUCAUUAAUAGUAUGGAUAGCUCCAAUAGUAUAGCAAUUAUCAUCUUCACAAUGAGUAAUAGGAGCAACAUCAUUUGGGAGAGAUACCUUUCUACCUUUGCUUCUCCGUCUUUUCUUUUUCUUCUUCAUAUCAUGUGCGGGUUUAACCCUCUCUUUUGAGCUCCUUAUUAAUGAGAUUGGUUGAAUAGAAAGCUCCUCUUCGUUCCCUGAUUCAUCAUAAGAAAUAAUAGGAGGAUAUUGGGAAGUCUCUUCCCUUUCAUUAGUAUUCUCUUCAUCUUCUAUUUGUUUUCUUUUCUUUAUGUAAUUGGCAAUAUAAGGAUUUUCAAUACAAUUCACCGCACAAUACAUAUAAAUUUCUUCUAGAUCAAAAUUAAGAACUCUAUCAAUGGCAAAUUCUGGAAUAAUCUUAGUUAUACGUUUCAUUUAUUCAUAACCCAAGAGCAAACUAAGUUCAUUAUGACGUGCAAGGGAAAUCAAGUCAUCACAAUUUUUGGACAUGAUACGAUCAUGAAACAAUUUGCAUUGCGUACUGAAAUGAUCACGUUCAUUGCAAAGUUCACAAGUACGCCUAAGAAAAUUUAAAUUUUCAGCACAAACAUCUAGCCUUUCUUGCAACCAUUUAGUUUCCAAAUACUUAUGCCUCUUGCAAAAUCUAUUUUCCUUAAUUGGUAUGUACUUGCAAACUCUAUGCACUCCACAAAAAUCGACAUGCUUAUAAGAGAUAUUUUCAUCAAGACUAGCGCAAUCAUCAUUAGUACUAUGGAUAUUCAAGGAGUUCAUACUAAUAACAUUGCAAUCAUGCUCAUCAUUCAAAGAUUUAGUGCCAAACAUUUUAUAGACUUCUUCUUCUAGCACUUGAGCACAAUUUUCCUUUCCAUCAUUCUCACGAAAGAUAUUAAAAAGAUGAAGCGUAUGAGGCAAACUCAAUUCCAUUUUUUUGUAAUUUUAUUUUAUAAACUAAACUAGUGAUAAAACAAAAAACCGAAAGAUUCGAUUGCAAGAUCUAAAGAUAUACCUUCAAGCACUAACCUCCCCGGCAACGGCGCCAGAGAAGAGCUUGAUGUCUACUACGCAACCUUCUUCUUGUAGACGUUGUUGGGCCUCCAAGUGCAGAGGUUUGUAGGACAGUAGCAAAUUUCCCUCAAGUGGAUGACCUAAGGUUUAUAAAUCCGUCGGAGGCGUAGGUUGAAGAUGGUCUCUCUCAAGCAACCCUGCAACCAAAUAACAAAGAGUCUCUUGUGUCCCCAACACACCCAAUACAAUGGUAAAUUGUAUAGGUGCACUAGUUCGGCGAAGAGAUGGUGAUAGAAGUGCAAUAUGGAUGGUAGAUAUAGGUUUUUGUAAUCUGAAAUUAUAAAAACAGCAAGGUAACUAAUGAUAAAAGUGAGCGUAAACGGUAUUGCAAUGUGUUGAAACAAGGCCUAGGGUUCAUACUUUCACUAGUGCAAGUUCUCUCAACAAUAAUAACAUAAUUGGAUCAUAUAACUAUCCCUCAAGAUGCAACACAGAGUCACUCCAAAGUCACUAAUAGCGGAGAACAAACGAAGAGAUUAUGGUAGGGUAUGAAACCACCUCAAAGUUAUCCUUUCUGAUCGAUCUAUUCAAGAGUCCGUAGUAAAAUAACAUGAAGUUAUUCUUUCCGUUCGAUCUAUCAUAGAGUUCGUACUAGAAUAACACCAUAAGAUACAAAUCAACCAAAACCCUAAUGUCACCUAGAUACUCCAAUGUCACCUCAAGUAUCCAUGGGUAUGAUUAUACGAUAUGCAUCACACAAUCUCAGAUUCAUCUAUUCAAACCAACACAAAGUACUUCAAAGAGUGCCCGGAAGUUUCUACCGGAGAGUCAAGACGAAAACGUGUGCCAACCCCUAUGCAUAAGUUCACGAGGUCACGGAACCCUCAAGUUGAUCACCAAAAUAUACAUCAAGUAGAUCACGUGAUAUCCCAUUGUCACCACAGAUAAGCACAUGCAAGACAUACAUCAAGUGUUCUCAAAUCCUUAAAGACUCAAUCCGAUAAGAUAACUUCAAAGGGAAAACUCAAUCCAUUACAAGAUAUUAGAGGGGGAGAAACAUCAUAAGAUCCAACUAUAAUAGCAAAGCUCGCGAUACAUCAAGAUCGUACCACCUCAAGAACACGAGAGAGAGAGAGAGAGAUCAAACACAUAGCUACUGGUACAUAUCCUCAGCCCCGAGGGUGAACUACUCCCUCCUCAUCAUGGAGAGCGCCGGGAUGAUGAAGAUGGCCACCGGUGAGGGAUUCCCCCUCCGGCAGGGUGCCAGAACAGGGUCCCGAUUAGUUUUUGGUGGCUACAGAGGCUUGCGGCGGCGGAACUCCCGAUCUAUUCCGCUCCCCGAAGUUUUUAGGGUAUAUGGAUAUAUAUAGGCGAAAGAAGUCGGUUAGGGGAGCCACGAGGGGCCCAUGAGGGUGGGGGGCGCGCCCAGGGGGGUAGGCGCGCCUCCCUACCUCGUGGCCACCUCGUUGCUUCCCUGACGUACACUCCAAGUCUCCUGGAUUGCUUCCGUUCCAAAAAUAACUCCCCCGAAGGUUUCAUUCCGUUUGGACUCCGUUUGAUAUUCCUUUUCUACGAAACACUGAAAUAGGCAAAAAACAGAAACUGGCACUGGGCUCUAAGUUAAUAGGUUAGUCCCAAAAAUAAUAUAAAAGUGUAUAAUAAAGCCCAUAACAUCCAAAACAGAUAAUAUAAUAGCAUGGAACAAUAAAAAAUUAUACAUACGUUGGAGACGUAUCAGAAUGACCGGUCAAGUUUCUCCUUCUCCUCCAAUCUGCUUGCACCUUGGCCCCGCUGCACCUUCUAACAUGACUUAUUACACCUAGACGGAGGGAGUCGUACGAGAUACGGUGGCACACUGACUUAGGUUGAAUACAAGUGCCCAAAAUUGUGUGCAUGUUAUAAUAAGGAUUCACUUAAAAUAGUACGUGAGCGAAUAGAGGGAUCAAUUGGACAGUGUUCCCGACCAGUAGCGAGAUGUGUGAGGUAAGAUACACCGCUGGCGCUUUUAAUUUUUCUUAUUAAUUUGUUUGUUUCACCCUCUGACUGGUGGGACCCAACGUACUACGUGGAGAGAGGUAAGGUGACUAAGGCUGCAUUAUUUUUGCACCACUGUGGAUAGUCUUACCACCAAAGCCACAUGACACGAUUAUGAUUAAAAUCCCAAUGACUCCCACACACACAAAAAAUGGCAUGCUCACACGAAUGCAGGAAUGUAUAAAAGGUUAUCUUCCUCUCGUUGAACAUAAUGGGAGGGUUGUGUAGCUGGUUAGCCUGUUCGCUCAUCAAACUUGAGGUCUCGGGUUCGAUAACUACACUUGAGCAUAAUUCGUGCCAGGAGGAUUCUUUGACUGGUCAAAAUGGAUGGAUACGGAGCUAUACGAUCAGCUGCAGCCUCGACGCUUGUUUUCUAGGGUUUGCACUCUUCACACUCUCUCCAGUAUAUAUAUACAUGCUGGAGCCUCUGCGCUUGUAGUUGCUGUCUUCACACUCUCUUACCCUCUUCAGAUCUAAACAAGACUUCAUUGGCCUCUCUCUCCCCUCACUGCUGGUCUGCUUGUAGUUGCUCUCUUCACACUCUCCCACCCUCUCCAGAUCUAAACAAGACUUCAUUGGCCUCUCUCUCUCUCCCCCCACUGCUGGUCAAAGAGCCGACAGGAUCCGUCCGUCAGGAAGGGAAGGAGGCUUAACGUUGUCACCGUCGGCGAGGGAGGGAAUCCACUACUGGCGUAGCUGUUCACUUUCACCCAGCGGCGGCGUGGGAGGGCCUUCGACCCCUUCUUCUUCGCCACCGUACAUAGUGUGGGCCGAACGGCCUCCGGUCGCCCACCGAACCACACCCCAAGAACCUUAAGGUAUAAUUUACUUAUUCCACAUGCAUUGCUCUAGCUGCAUGUGUGUUUUUUCCGCUUCUGCACUCGAAUCUAGGUGUUGGAUCAAAUAGGAAAGUAGUGGGGAAAGUUGUAUACCAUGAAUCUAGGACGUGGUUCAAAGAGGAAAGGAAUGGGGGAAAGUAGUGGGAAAAGUUGUAUAGCAUGAAUCUAGGACGUGGUUCAAAAAGGAAAGGAAGGGGGAAAGUAGUGGGGAAAGUUGUAUCGCAUGAAUCUAAGGCGUGGUUCAAAGAGGAAAGGAAUGGGGGAAAGUAGUGGGGAAAGUUGUAUAGCAUAAAUCUAGGACGUGGUUCAAAGAGGAAAGGAAGGGGGGAAAGUACUAGUACAGACUGGCUAUCUAGCACCUACGUUGGUCGAAAAGGGAAAACAAUGACAAACGUAGUACGCACAUCUGUAACGAACUGACCUUUUGUUUUGGGGGACAAGGCUGUAGAGUUUGAGCAGGACUAGAUUUGCUGCGCUCACAUAGGGAAAGGUGUCUAAAGAUAACAAAACUGGGACCAACACAAAUAUGCUCCUUGGUUGUUUGUUCUUUGUUGCAACACACUGUGCAUAACCCAGUACAUCGGUAGAUGCACAUGGUGCUGGUGCGUCCACUGUCCUGUGGAACUCUUUAGCUGUUGUUAAUCUAAGGCCCUGUUUGGUUAAAAACUCCCUAGUCCCUACCUGCUUGGUUCUAGGGACUAAACAUGGACUAGAGGUUAUUAAAUGACAUGCUAAAAGACCAUGUUACCCCUAGUAAUGAACUAAUAGAGACAAGGUGCGAUGCGUGGCAGGGCAACUGUUGGAAAAAGUCCCAAAAAGACUCUCCCUCAGGGUCUUCUUUCUUUAGUCCCAAAUGCCCACUUUUAGUCCCUAAAAGUCCCUCAUGUUUGGUUUAGAUGGGACUGACACGGAGUUUUUUUAGUCCCUCCACCAAAAUGUCCCUGUAAACAAACACCCUCUAAUAAUGCCGCUGGAAAAUUGAUGCAGUGCCACAGUUAAAAGCAAAUUACAUGUUUAGCGAAUUUUAUUGUUAAUAUAAUCUCUCUGUUAAUAUUAAUCAAUGCCACCGUUUGAGAAAUGCUACUGUCUUGCUUUCUUUCCCAUUUAGAUAAGGUAGGUGCUUCUUUUUGUUGGCUUCUGUGUCAUCCACCGUUAUUGACCACUAGUUGUUUCCUUUGCACCUGUGUGUAAACAGGGUUAUCUACUUCACCUCGUUGCCAUUGUGACCUUUUGUUGCACUGCGCAAAACACUUUUGUUUUAAGAGUGUUUUGUGCAGUUCAACCAAAAUGUCACACCGACAAUGUUGCUUGAUUGCUUGAUCUUAGUGGAACUGCACAAGAGGAGAUCUUACUUCCUAUCCUUGUUGGCAAAUUUGGUUCAGAUCUUCUUCUUGUGAGUUGUUUGAAUUCCGCGUCAUGAGAGGUUAGUACAAGCCUUCUUUCACAUGAUUCUGCAGUGUGCUUUAAUAUGUGGUGCUACUUGUACGGUAAUGUUGCUUGAUUUUAGUGAACUGCACAAAUGGAGACAAGACUUCCAAUCUGUAUGUGCACCGUAAUAUCCCAUUGAGGUAAGAUAAGGAUAUUUCGCAACUGUUGGCCUGUAUUUUGCCACUUUCAUCAGAAAACUAAUGUCAUUGUUUAGUGCUAUACUUGUGCAACCUAAUUGACAUGCCAAAUCUUACAUUGAAGGCGAAGCUUAUCUGUUAUUGAACCAAGUGAUGAAGGGGAAGAACAAGCGGAAGAAAAACAAAAAUCAACUCCCGGUGCUGUAAUGAAGCACUAGAACUGUGAUGACAUAAGUAAUGAUAUAGUUUUGCAUCUUAAUUUAUUGCUAUGGCUGGAACGAGCAAUUGUUUUGCCAGUGAUUUGAUGCCACUCUUAAUGUAAUUCGUAAUUAUCUCUACUUGUGCAAACAGGGAUCUUCUUUGAAGAUACCAUAUAUUUUAGUGGAACUGUACAAGAAGAUGUUGGAAACAUUAAACUAAUCAAGGAGUAUAUAGUAAGCAUGGCCACCACAGUAGAUAGCAACAGAUGGUUCCGGAGAAGUGCUUCAUCUGUAUGCUCUACACAAUAAGCCUCCUGACAAAGGUUGGUACUCGCCCACUGAUUUCAUCCAUAUAAUUGAGCUUUGUCAUCUCUAUUAGUGUUGUGCUACUGUUUAGAUACUGUCAUGAAAAAGUGGUAUUGUCCUUGAGAAGUGCUUCAUCUGUGUUGUUUUAAAUAUUUCCUUUCCUUUUUUUCGAGCAAACAGGGAUGCUAGCAUUUAGUUGUCCUCUUAUCUUUGCACAACAGGAUCAUCCUCCUCUGAAGAAGAAUAUGGAGUAUGUGAAGUGACUAGUUCCGAUUAUGCCAGGAUGAAGAAGCCCUGUCUAUCUUCUCAUCAGAAGGGGCAGUUGAAGGAUGGUUACAUUACUCCCCACAAGACCAAACUAACUUCAGCUUAGAAGGACUGACAAAUCUCCAUUUUCUUGCUGUGAUGCGCGAAUACAAUGUUGUUCUAGGAUUCUUUCCGGUGAGUUCCAUUUUUCUAAAAGUGUGCUCUACAUGGACCAUGUAGGUGCCUGUUUAAACUGUCAACUCAUAGUACAGUUUGCUUUAUACUAAUCACUUUUUUUGUAUUUGUGCAAACAGGGGUGCUCAGCUUGAUUUCAAUGGGAACUGCACAAAAUGUUCAUGAAUACAUCGAAUCAUUCAUUUCCACCACAAGAAAGGAGGUGCCGAUAAGUUCAAGGCGUUGCAACAUAUAAGGGCGAAAUCAUACAAGCUACGCACGAAUUUGGUUGAUUUUGGUGGAACUGCACAAAAAGAACAGCUGGUUUAUUUAGCACGAGGUGCCAUGUCAAUGUCCAAACUGAUGGCAAACCAUGCCCAUUCCACAAUCGUAGGCAUUUGAUAUUUUGGAAUGGGACAACCUUGUCAAAUUUUGCUCAUUGAUUUUAGCAAGAAGACAUGCGUUUGAUAUUUUCGAAUGGGACGCCCUUUGCUGUCAGCAGCGUCGAUCCAUUUUUUCUUUAUUCUUUAGUUGUGAAGUAAAUAUUGGCUCUGACAUGUGAAUCGCUGAGAUGCAUAAUCAUCGAUUGUUUUGAAUGUUCUCUGUGAAUUGCCAUUCCUGUGUGUUUGAUUGCAAUGUACAGGAAUGCUAAAAAGCUGCUCAAACUCUUUGUACUCCUUCUGUUCCUUUUUACUUUGCACAUUGUGAAAGUCCAUACUUUUUUCUAUAAGAUUGGUCAAAGUAGAGAUACUUUGACUGCAGACAAAACUUGUAUGCAGACUAGAAAGGACCGGAGGGAGUACAUGUGAAACAGCUGCAAACGAGGUGAUCACCCUGGGAAUAAUGCUAGUACGUAUUGUUUUGCAUGUUCAUGCAAUGCCAGUGAUACAAGAAUUCGAACUAAUCAAAAUAAAUUGAUUCAUACACGGUCGGAUUUCAUAUAAACAUGCCGGAUUUCAUUACAUUUCAUAUAAUCUUCAACUAAAAAGGGGUGCGCUGGAGGUAUAAUUAAUUAACUGAAGCUACCCACCUGUGUCCGGCUGAGACGAACAGAAGCUUCAGUGACUUAACUGCAGGUGCAGUUGCGUAACUGACAUGUGGCCCAGAUGCCUGUUGGGCCCACGUGUCAGUCAGCCAACUGCACCAGCAGUUAAGUAGAAGCAGCAUCCUUCUCCAACAUAGCUCUCCGACUCCACGUCGCCGCCAAGAAGCUAACUGGUCGUCAGUGGUCAACCAACCUAGCUUGGCUUCAACCGGAGGGUAGCAGCGGUGGCCUUACUUGGACCCGAGCGGCAGCGACCUACCGUGUUCUACUCUUCCUCGUUUUCUGUGUGGCGCGACCUCGUUGGCAGCGGGGCGGGGCCUCAGCGGAGCCGGCGAUGUCCUCUAUCUCGUUGCCGGCGGGCGGCGCCUCGGCGGAGCGGGGGAAAUCCUCCCCCUCGUUGCUGGCAGGGUGGGGCCUCGGCGGAGCCGGCGGUGUCCUCUGCCUCGUUGUUGGCGCCGCGGGGCCUCGGUGGAGCAGGGCCUCGUCGACGCCAGCGGAGCGGUGACUCGUCGGAGCCGACAUUGUCCUCUGCCUCAUCCUCGGUCUCGCCAAACAGUGCCUCGCCCGCUUCAUCGCCCUCUUUGUAGGCGGCCGCAGCCUCCGCCAGCGCUCGAGGCGGCCCUCACGGGCGGAGCGGUAUGAGUCGAGCAGCGCCUCCUGCUCUGCCCGCUCCGCGGCGAUCUGCUCCUCCGCCUGUAGGUGCUCCUGGAGGAGAUGGUGGUUGUAGGCGGCGUCGGCCUGCGCCUCCCGGAACUGCUCCUCACGCUUCUGCCUCACCGUGUCCAUAUAUUGGGCACAGGCCUUGCCGAUGGUCAUGGUGCAAUGCACCGGCGAGGAUGGCGCAGAGGAGGGGGUUGGCGCCAGAUCAUCGACUACCAUGUUCUCCUUGGGACGUCGUCGUCCUCCGGCUGCCUGCCGGCCAGCCAGUCGGCAGCAAUGGCUGCCAUCUCCUUGUGGUCCGUCGUCUGCCCGUCCUGAAGAGCGUUGGAGCGUGAGGAAGCCAUGGUGGGCAGUAGUGGUGUGGACAGGAGAAAGGGAACAGAUGUGGAUGACUGCGGCUAUGGCCGGCGCAGCAGUUUAUAUAGCAAUGGUGGGCGGCGGAGGGACGGACGUGUGGCGCCGGAGUAGCCGCCUCGGCAACCACGUAUCAUUAAUGUGGGCGGCAGAAGGAUGGACGGACGGCACUUGUGUCGUUUGAAGGCGGAGCAAUCGCCUGCACCAGGAAGCGGGGCGGGCGGCGCUGACAGUUUUGGGCGGAAAGCGCGCGCGGGCGAGGGAGGCGGUCUGGGUGGGCCAGGGCAGUCAGACUCGUGCUUGGCAGCGGGUCGGUCCAGCAGCUGUACAUGCUGGCUUGCCAGCUAGCUCGCCGAGCUGAGCGACGACAAUCAGACGAUGGACGUAGCUUCCGACCAGGAGCCGGCGCCACUGUCCAAGCCGGUUCAUGCCGUGUUCACCAUAGAGCAGGUGCGGCCGCACUUCGACGCCCUAAUGGCGGAAGAGCUACCAGCGCAGGAGGACCUGUGCUGCAACCUCCGUCUCCUCAACGAGCACCGGUGAACAAGCGAACGACAAUGCCGUCGCAGACAUGUGGCCCUAUGAUCCUGGCUUCCUGAAUGAGUAGCGGGCGCUGUAUCAGGCCAUCUGUAGGGCCCGCAAGCCCCUCUCCGUCGUCCUUCGAGUUGUUGCGCUCGCCGUGGCACCGCCGUCUCGCGUUGUCAACAUGGUCAACAGACAUGAGGAUGAGGAGAUGACUAUACUUGGAGAGGAUGACAGUGGGGACCCACCUGGGCCAUAGCCGCACGUAUGCAAGUGCCUCCUUAUUAGUAUAUAAAACUAUAAUUUUUUUUGCUUCCUCCUAGUCUCCUGACAUCACGGUCCCACACCAUUGUCAACCUAUGUACUCAAUAAACGAGAGAAUUGCACAAGAAGCGGCCGACAGCUGGGACCAAGCAGCUCGAGCAGUAUUUGUGUUUUUGAGGUGUGAGCACUGCAGAGUUUUUCUUGAGCGAUGUUUAGCCCAGAUAUUAUUUUUUCUCCUCUGAACAACAACAAAAACAUCGCUGCAGGUAUUAACUGGGCGGGCUGUGGCCCGUCUAGCCCAGGCCAGAUAUCCAGCCCAGAUAUUAAUUUUUUUCAAGCUGAAAAUGGCUAGCCCAGCUAUACUUUUUUAGGAAUACCCAGGCAAGGUCAAGUAGUUAUUCUCCGCCCCACUGGGCUGCAAAUCUUUCCUAGGAGGGUUGCAUUAGGCUUAACAAGAAAAUGGGCUUUAAAAAAAUAAUAAAUAAGAUGUAAUUAUAAAAACUGGGCAGUAACUAUAAAAAAUGCACCAAACAUGUAAUUACUUUAUAAAAUAUUAUUUUUGGAUAUUGAAAAUUUUAAUUUCAUUAAUUGUUGCGAGCGCAAUGUUUUGUUGGAUUUUUAUGUAAUAUAAAUUUAUAUUGAAAUUUUAUUUAAUCUGACUAGAAAUUUCGGGAUAAAAAUAUUUCGGAUCCCAUCAAAAUGUGGGAAAUUUUAUUGAAUUCUGUUUUGAACGGUUGGUUGAAAUGGGCUGUACUUUUAACAAACUAUAAAUGGGCUGUAGUAAAUUCCAUUAGAAUUCAAAAAUUGGCUGCACAUUCUUACAAAUCUCAAAUGGGCUAUAAGUUCUCUGCCACACACUUGUGGUCUUACUAAGUUGACGCGUCCCCUAAAAAAAAGAGUUGACGCGUAUGCAAGGCUUUGUCAACUUAUAGUCAACACACGGUUCUAGCAGCAGUGGCCGUUGGAUGUCCAUCCAACGGAUGCCGUGCUUCUUCUUCAAUCUCGGAUAUUCUAGCUUCACCCGCCCAAAAAAUGAUUCCUCCCUUGACAUCUGGGGUGCACCGUUUCGGAAGCUGACCUGUGGGCCUACUAAGUUGACGCGUACCAAGGGCUUUUUCAACUUAGUCAAUAUAAACGAUUCUAGCUGUAGUGACCGUACGAUGUCUAUCCAACGGCUGUCGUGCUUCUUAACCUCUGGUCUUCUUGCUCCAGCCGCCGAAAGCAGCGCCGGUCGUGCCGCCUGCUCCUGCCUCCCGUGGUCGGAUGUGCUGCCGCGGAGGCCUCACCGCCCCUACUACUCCCACCACUGGCCAGGCCAUCCCUCCACUCACCCACACCCCCUGUUAUUUUGCGGCGAUGGCAGCCUCACACCGCAGCCGAACCAGUGAACCCUCGUACUCCUCUCUGUGUGGUAUCCACUCCCGCGUCUUCCCCGGCUCCACGUCGUCCCCUUCCUAGGCCUCGCCGUCGUCCACCGCCGUGGUGCUCUCGACGCGGCGUGGUCAAUGUGGUCAACGACCGACUUCCAUCGGAAGAGUACUGUAUGUGGAGAGGCUGACAACUGGGUCCACGGAAGCCGCAAGGAAGUGCCUCCUUAUUACGCAGAAAAUAAUGAUUCCUCCACCUGACAGCAGGGACCCACCGGACGGGCAACCGUAUUUCACGAAAAAAAUUCCCCCCCUGACUGCUGGGACCUACCAGCUACAUCUUCGCAUGCAAGGAAGUGCGUCCGGGCAAAAAACAAUGAUUCGCCCCCCUGACUACUGGGACCCACCAGCUACAUCUUCGCACGCAAGGAAGUGCCCGACAGUCGGGACCCACCUGGUCGAAGAGUACGUUGCAUUGUCAUUCUGGUCGCGAAUGUGUACGUACAUACUGGUCGAGGCGCGCACGUGUCGUAGUAGAGGCACACACGUAGCAUGUACACGUACUUACAGCGGCCAGGGUGCAAGAAAGUAAAUACGGCCACAUACGUACAUACGAGCAGGGUCUCGAACGCCUACUCGCGCGUACGUACGGCCAGGGCUCGUAUACAUGGCUGGGUCGGAACGGAGAAACUGUGUCGUCGUCGUGUUCAUGGGGAGGCAACGGAAUGCGUCGUGUUCAUCGGGAGGCAACAAAACGCGUGGGAGCCAAUCGGCUUGGACGGAACAGCCGAUGGAAACGAGGCCUGGCGUACCGCACAAUGGAGGAAACGGCCUUGUGUUCGACCGGCCAGGUUCGAAACGGGAUCCUGUUCAUCAGGAGGGGUCUGGUGUACCGCAAAAUGGAGGAAACGGACCUCCUACGGUCGAAACAGGUCCUGUUGAUCCGGAGGGGUGUGGCGUGCCGCAAAACGGAGGAAACGGGCUUGUGUUGGAGCGCUACGGUCGAAACGGGGGUCCUGUUCAUCGGGAGGGGUGUGGCGUACAGCAAAACGGGACUCCACGGGAUACUGUUCAUCUCCACCGUCGACCCCCUCCAGCCUCCACGAGCUACUGUUCAUCCAUUGUCGACCUCCUCCAGCCUCCACCCGCGACUGUUCAUCCACGGGCUCCUGUUCAUCCAGCCUCCACCGCGCGCUACUCCACCGGCUACUGUUCAACCAGCCCUCUCCACAGGCUCCUAUUCAACCACCCCUCCACGGUCUACUAUUCAUCCAGCCCUCCACCGUCUACUGUUCAUCCAGCCCUCCACGGGGUCGUCCUAUUCAUCCAGCCCUCCACGGGGUCCUGUUCAUCCAGCCCCAACCGGCUCGAUCGAUCGGGGUCCUGUUCAUCCAGAGGCAACACCACGGGGUCCUGUUCAUCCACCCCCACCGGGAACUGUUCAUCCAAACCCCCCUAGCAACGCUCACUGUUGAUCCAGAGGCAGCAUCGAUCGCCUUCAGUUAGCAGCAGUAGCGAAGGAAUCGCUCGAUCGGGUUCAGUUAACAGCCAUCGAUCGACCGCUCAGGUUCAGUAACGCGUAGCCUGCAGUGCAAUCGCUCGGGUUCAGUAGGCGAAUGCCUCGCUCGGGUUCAGUUAGAGCCCAACGCCUCACACCCACGCACGUGUGUGUACGAGAGAAACGCGCAAACCUCCGUGCAUCACUCGGCCCCGACCACCCACCGUAAUCGGGAACACCCCGAUAUUUUCCUCGCCCUCGCUUCUACCACGGUUUUUCCGUCAUGGACGGCCCAAAGAAUGUCAUGCAGCUGCGUCUCCGGCCCGCCCAGGACGAAAAGCCCAUUUUCAGUCAUGAUUUUUUGUCAUAGAAGUAGGAGCCCACCACAUCUAUGAUGAUACUGGGUUUUGCCACAAUUAUCGUCAUAGAAGUGUCAUAAGUAUGACAGAAAAAAAAUUCGUUCGGCCCAAAAUGUCACGGAUGUGUCUUUUUUUGUAGUGCAUGAAGAAAGCAAUAGCAUUAUACUAAACGAUAAAAUGCUAAGCUAACGGAAUGGGUCAAGUCAAUCACAUCAUUCUCUAAUGACGUGAUCCCGUUAAUCAAAUGACAACUCGUGUCAAUGGCUAGGAAACUUAACCAUCUUUGAUUCAACGAGCUAGUCAAGUAGAGGCAUACUAGUGACACUUUGUUUGUCUAUGUAUUCAGGCAUGUACUAAGUUUCCGGUUAAUACAAUUCUAGCAUGAAUAAUAAACAUUUAUCAUGAUAUAAGGAAAUAUAAAUAACAACUUUCUUAUUGCCUCUAGGGCAUAUUUCCUUCAGUCUCCCACUUGCACUAGAGUCAAUAAUCUAGAUUACACAAUAAUGAUUCUAACACCCAUGGAGUCUUGGUGCUGAUCAUGUUUUGCUCGUGAGAGAGACUUAG
rnacentral:lncRNA from 1 species